rnacentral:lncRNA from 1 species
AGAGAGUGAGUUUGUUAGAAAUUUGAUCGGUAUCAGCAGCAGCCAUGUCUUUGCUUGUUGAGAAGACCAGUUCUGGCCGGGAGUACAAGGUCAAGGACAUGUCUCAGGCGGACUUCGGCCGUCUGGAGAUCGAGCUUGCGGAGGUUGAGAUGCCAGGCCUCAUGUCUUGCAGGACUGAGUUCGGACCCCAGCAGCCAUUCAAGGGUGCCAAGAUCACUGGCUCACUCCACAUGACCAUCCAGACUGCCGUCCUUAUCGAGACCCUCACCGCCCUUGGCGCCGAGGUCCGCUGGUGCUCCUGCAAUAUCUUCUCCACCCAGGACCACGCCGCCGCUGCCAUUGCCCGCGACAGCGCCGCCGUCUUCGCCUGGAAGGGCGAGACCCUACAGGAGUACUGGUGGUGCACGGAGCGGGCCCUCGACUGGGGUCCCGGUGGCGGCCCCGAUCUCAUCGUGGACGACGGCGGCGACGCUACCUUGUUGAUCCACGAGGGGGUCAAGGCUGAGGAGGAGUACGCCAAGAGCGGCAAGUUACCGGACCCCUCCUCCACCGACAAUGCUGAGUUUCAGAUCGUUUUGACCAUUAUUAGGGACGGAUUGAAGACAGAUCCGAAGAGAUAUCACAAGAUGAAGGGGAGAUUGGUUGGUGUUUCUGAGGAGACCACCACCGGUGUUAAGAGGCUUUACCAGAUGCAAGCUAACGGCACUUUGCUUUUCCCUGCUAUUAAUGUCAAUGACUCUGUCACCAAGAGCAAGGUAUUCUCCAGAUCUGUGAUAUUUGGGAAUUGUUUUCAACGAUUCAACCAAUUUGUUUGGUGGAUCUAGUUUGGAUUACUAGAAGAGUCGUAAUUUUGUGUUUUGUUUUGUUUUGUUUUUCUUAACAAUUUUCUGUUCUGGAUGCAAACAGUUCGACAAUUUGUAUGGAUGCCGCCAUUCACUCCCUGAUGGGCUGAUGAGAGCUACGGACGUGAUGAUUGCCGGAAAGGUUGCAGUUGUAUGCGGAUACGGAGAUGUGGGCAAGGGCUGCGCUGCUGCCCUGAAGCAAGCUGGAGCCCGGGUGAUCGUGACGGAGAUAGAUCCGAUCUGUGCUCUGCAGGCCCUGAUGGAGGGUAUCCCGGUUCAAACCAUUGAGGAUGUCGUCUCUGAAGCAGACAUCUUCGUGACCACCACCGGUAACAAGGACAUCAUCAUGGUUGACCACAUGAGGAAGAUGAAGAACAAUGCAAUUGUUUGCAACAUUGGCCACUUCGACAACGAGAUUGACAUGUUAGGGCUGGAGACAUACCCGGGUGUGAAGAGAAUCACCAUCAAGCCCCAAACUGAUAGGUGGGUGUUCCCUGAUACCAAUUCGGGCAUCAUAGUGUUGGCAGAGGGGCGACUCAUGAACUUGGGUUGCGCCACUGGCCACCCCAGCUUUGUGAUGUCAUGCUCGUUCACCAACCAGGUGAUUGCACAGCUGGAGCUGUGGAAGGAGAAGGCCAGUGGCAAGUAUGAGAAGAAGGUGUAUGUGUUGCCAAAGCAUCUCGACGAGAAGGUUGCUGCGCUUCACCUUGGGAAGCUUGGGGCCAAGCUCACCAAGCUUAGCAAGGACCAGGCUGACUACAUCAGUGUGCCCAUUGAGGGUCCUUACAAGCCUCCUCACUACAGGUACUGAGAGAGAAGACCCACAGAUAUGUGGAUGGGCUUGAUUUGCCUUCUUUUACAAUCUGAUUUAUGUUAGAAUUAUAGGUUUGAUUUUUGCAUUUUUUUUUUCCUGUCAUGGGGGUUGUUUGGGGUUUGGGAAGAAAAAGAAGAGAGAGAAAAAACCGAGAUCGGUGUCUUCCGUUGAAGAAGAUGAGCAGAUGUGGGGAUUCAAUAAGGAUUGUGAUUGAGGGCUGUGUGUGAGAGAGUAUUCUGGUUAAAAACCAAAAAAGAGAGAAAAAAAUAUUUUAUAUGUCAGUUGUUUUCACUUAUGCUUUUCGUUUAUUUCAAGAUGAAAUAAGUCAAUUACACAAAUUACACAAAAUUAUGAUCUGGUUUAUUUUUCCAACGAUUGCCUAAGAGGAUUCACUUUUAUUCUCAUAAUCUUUUUGGGUGAGUUUAGCAUUUUUGUGAAGAAUUUUAGCCUUGGAAAGCCUUGGCCUACAUAGUGGGUGUGAACAGGCAGGUCAUCCUAUCAUAAAACCCCUCACAUCUCUUCUCCCAUAACACUCAAAAAGUGAAGCAUCUCAUGCCGACACCGAGUCACCGACAGCCACUAUCUUGAUAACCAUGGGCCAAACUUCUCCCCAUUUCCGGCGACCAUAUCCACCAUAAAUGAACCCUUUUGGGUAAUUGGUAAAAAAGUAUUGUUAGAAUAGACAACUCACCAAACCUACUAUCAUAAAUAAAGCAUGUAACUCACAUUUUGUUUGCCCCAAUUGUUUUAUUUAAUUUAUGUAGUGUUUGGUUGUUUUAAAUUAUAUAUAUUUUUUUGGUUUGAAUGGGCAAUUCACCGAACGUAUCAUAAGCAUCCAUUGAUAGAACGCAUUUUUUUUGCCCCCAAUUAUUUUAUUUAAUUUAUGUAGUCUCUGGCUGUUUUCAAUUAUAUUUUAAUGGUUUGAUUUUUAAAUAGAUAAUAUAAAAAAAAACUCCAUUUUAUUUUAUAUAUAUAUAUUAAAUAGGUAAUUAUUAAGGAAAAUCAAUUUAUUAAUUAAAUCUUAAAGAUUUGAAAAUUAAGAAUACAAAAUUUAGGCUUGGUAACAGUUUUAAAAAACAAUUUUGAAAACUAAUUUUUUAUAAUAGUUUUUGAAAACUAUUUUUUGAUAUUUUGUAAAAUAAAAUUUUGUUUGAGAACCUAAAAUGUUUUUAAUAUUUAAAAAUAUUUUUUAUAUCUAUUAUUUUAUUUUUAAUCAUUUUAUAUUCUUGUAUAAUUAUUUUAUAAAACAAUAUUUAGAAAACAAGUGCAAAUAACAUAAAACAAUUAUGAAAACGUUAUAUUUUUUGUUUUUAAAAAAAAUAGAAAAUAAUAUUUAAUUAUUAAAAAUAAUGUAUUUUUUUGUUUUUCUGUUCUAAAAAAUAGAAAAAACUAUUAUCGAAGUCAAAUAACCCCUUAAAAUUCUAGCACUUACUCACAUUAUAUAAGGUUGAUCCCUACAUUGUGUGGGUAAGAGCUUUGACUCUGUUACACUUUUUGAGCAUGUAUAAAGUUUUACACGUUUGAAAUUGGCUUGAUUUGGUACAUUUAGGCUCAUUUAAUUGAUUUUGAUUCUUCAUUGUAUUUUUACCAUUUAAGAGAUACAUACAUUGUCGGUUUGUAAAGCGGAAAUCUGGGAUUUGAUUGGAAAUGUAAUUUUUGAAAUGGGUUACUUAAUAAGGACAAAGCCUAAAUUUGAUGGAUGAUCGACCAAUAUUUUAUUGGGCAAUGGGUUUCCUGGGUGUGGAGAUAUACGUCUUGAUGGUUUCAAAGACAUAGAUUAUAAUAUAGGCCAAGACCCUUACUAUAAUCGGCCUACCUACAACCUUGUUAUGAAUAAGCUACCUUGAUCCAUACCAUACCUACCUUGACACAGGUCCAGGAAAGUUACAUUGACAUCUAUUUUAUUGGUCAAGCAAGUGAUUAGCACAGGAAAUUACUUUUUUUCAGCAAAUUCUGGAGAAUUUUCAUCAGCCCUUGUCCCAUAAUUGGUCAUUUCGUGUUUCCCUUUUGUUUUGAAGUGGUUUUGGCUUGGCAAGUUUAUUUUUGUUAUCUAGUGCAAAUCAUCAGGCUGAAGUGGAUUUCGACCCACAUUGCAAUUGCUAGUUUCUUUAAAGAAGCAUGCAAAUCCAUGAAGUUACGAAGAUCUGUCUGGGGUGGAUUCUGGAGGCAAAUUUGGCAGCUCACCACCAUUGGAUGUCUUGAUUCUCUCAUCUUCUGACACCUUUGGCUCAGGACCCAGGGUUUAAAUACCCAUUUGAAGCUCUCUUCCCUCUCUUGUAAUCUUGGAGGAUAUGUUUGGGUUUCAAAAUGGUACGAAGCGAGGAAAAAAAAAAUGUUAAAAAGGAAAAUAGUUUUACCUCAUUUAGUUUUCCUGUAUAAAAAAAAUCAAAUAUAAUUUGGAAAUUUAUAUAUUUUUAAUUAUUUAAUUAAAAAACAUAUAAAAAUAAUUUAUUAAUGUUGUAAAAUUAUAAAAUGAAAGAAGAAGAAAACAAGAAAGAAAAAUUAGAAUGUAGGAAGAGAAUAGAAUGCAUGGGAAAACUCUCUUGAAUUUCAUUAGGGGUCUCUCCCUUUUAUAGAGAGUUACAAAAGAUAUUUAUGGAUGAUUAUUCACAAGUUACCAUAGUGAUACAGAAUCUCAUAUUUUAUAAUACUCCCCCUUGGAUGAUCAUAAGAAUAUGCCUCGUUAAAACUUUACUAGGAAAAACCCUAUGGGAAAAAACCCUAGUGAAGGAAAAAGAGUACAAUAUUUUUUUGGAUUACUGCAAUUGCAUCGUUAAAAACUUUGCCAAUAAAACCCAUUGGGACAAAACUUGGACAAAGGAAAAAAGAGUGCAGUAUAUCCAUAUUAUCAUUCUCCUCCUCAUGUAAACAUGAUUAUGAUUUUUUCAACAUUUCAAAUGGUAGAUCUCUCAAUCUUCGUAUUCCAAAGUCAUACCUUAACUUUUUCAAUGUGGUUAAAGGUAACUCAUUUGUAAAUAGAUAUGCUAGAUUAUUGCAUGACCGAAUCUAUUGAACAUCGAUCUCACCUUUCUUUUGGAGCUCAUGAGUAUAGAGGAAUUUAGGGAAGAUAUGCUUAGUUCUAUCACCUUUUAUGAAUCCUCCUUUAAUUUGUGCAAUACAAGCAUGUAACACGGUUGCAUUGCCUCUAAUAGAAGGUAGUCCACAUGUUUCUUGUAUAUGUUGGAUCAUUGACUUUAGUCAUACACAUUCACGACUUGCUUCAUGAAUUUCAAGAAUUUCUGAAUGAUUUGAUGAUGUGACCACCAUUGUUUGUUUGAUAGAUCUCCAUGAGAUAGUAGUACCAUUGUAAUUAAACACAUACCAUGUUUGUGACUUACCUUUAUAUGGAUCUGAAAGAUAUUAUGCAUCUGCAUAUCCAAGCAAUUGUUGCUUUGAUUCUCUUGAGUAAAAUGGACCUAUACCAGUAGUUCCACAAAGAUAACGAAAUAUAUGUUUGAUACCAUUCCAAUGUCUUCGAGUUGGAACAGAACUAUAUCUUGCUAAUAAAUUGAUAGAAAAGCAAUGUUUAGACGUAUACAAUUGGCAAGAUAUAUAAGUGCACUAAUAGCACUAAGAUAUGGUACUUCAGGACCAAGUAAUUCUUCAUCAUUUUUUGUAAGGACGAAAUGGGUCAUUUUUCACAUCAAGUGAUUGGACAACCAUUGGAGAACUUAAAUGAUGUGCUUUAUCUAUAUAAAAACGCUUCAAAAUUUUCUUAAUGUAUGUUGAUUGAUGCACUAAAACUCCAUUUGGAAAAUGUUUGAUCUGCAAACCGAGACAGAAUUUUGUUUUUCCAAGAUCUUUCAUCUCAAAUUCAUUUUUCAAGUAAUUUCUUGUUCUUGUGAGCUCUUCAGGAGUUCCAACAAGAUUUAAGUCAUCAACAUACACUGAAAUAAUUGCAAAUCCGGCUUUUGAUUUCUUAAUGAAGAUGCAUGGGCAUAUAAGAUUAUUCAUAUACCCUUCUUUUAGCAAGUAUUCACUAAGGUGAUUGUACCACAUGCAUCCGGAGUGCUUUAAUCCAUACAAGGAUCAUUGUAACUUGAUUGAGUACAUGUUACGAGGCUUUGUACAAUUUGCUUUAGGCAAUUUAAAUCCUUUAGGGAUUUUCAUGUAUAUAUCAUUAUCCAUGGAUCCAUAUAAAUAUGUUGUAAUAACAUUCAUGAGACGCAUAUCUAGUCCUUUUAGGAUUGCCAAGCUAAUUAAGAAAUGAUAUGUGAUUGCGUCCAUGACGGGAGAGAAUGUUUCCUCAUAGUCAAUACCAGGUUUCUGCGAGAAACCUUGUGCUACUAAUCGCAUUUUAUAUCUUACGAUCUCAUUAUUCUCAUUGCGUUUUCGUACAAAUACCCAUUUAUACCCAACAGGCUUUACAUCUUCAGGUGUUUGGACUACAGGUCUAAAAACUUCUCAUUUUGUUAAUGAGUUUAACUUUGCCUAUAUAACUUCUUUCCAUUUUGGCAAAUCAUUUCUAUGUCGGCAUUUUUCCACAUUUCGUGGUUCAAGAUCUUCAUCAUUUCUUAUGGAGGCCACUUGGAAAGUGAAAAUAAUAUUAUUUUGAUCCCAUUUUUCUCCCAUGUAUACAUAACUUACUGAGAUCUCAUAAUUUUCAGGUACCUGUGCCUCUUCAAGGGCUUCUUAUUCAAUAUGUGCCUCUUCAAGGGCUUCUUGUUCAAUAUAUGUGCCUUUUCAAGGGCUUCUUGUAUUAUUUGUGCCUUUUUUAGGGCUAUAGAUUUAUCAAUUUUAAACUGACCAGUUAUUUUUAUGGCCUCUUUUAGAGUGCCAAGUUUUUCUUGGGUUCUCCUCUUUCGGGGAGUUACAUCAUUUGAGCCGACAAGUCUACCACACUUCAGGCCUAUCUUAGAUUAAUUUGUUAACUAUCUUACAGGGACAUCAAUUUGUGCUGGAGUAUUUGCAACUAGAAUAUAAGACUUUGUCACUUUCUUUGUAUUAAUGAAUGCAUCUUGUAAUUGAUUUGCAAGAUUUUGCAAAUGAAUGAUCCUUUGAACUUUUAGUUCACAUUGAUUUGUAUGAGGAUCAAGAUAAGUCAAAGUCAAUGCAUUCCAAAUAAUUUCACACCGUUCUUGUGGAACUAGCUCUUCUCCCCUUAACGGCGAGAAAAUUGUCUCAUUAAAUGUCAUUCUACCUUUUAAGUGUAUAGGUAUACUAGUCACUAAUUAAAAACUUCUGGUUUUGUAAUGUAUAUCCAUAUGACCUUUUACCCCGGGGGACCAAGUUGGUCUUAAAAGAUUCUUUUGGAUCUAUCAUCAUAUAAAGUGUCAUUCACAUGAAAUCAAAUACUACUAGUGACAUAGUAUAAGCUCUUUUGGAGCCUUUAAUUAGGUUUCUAUCACCUGAUAUAAUAUUAACAUUGUUUGUCAUCAAUGUUGUGCAAUUAAUGAGACAAGAGUUUCAUCAAAGUAACAAGUCAUAAAACAUUGUCAUAAAGACUUCGUCUUUAUAGAGUUGAAUAAAUAUUAUCACAUAGAAAAAGUUAAAAUCAAUGGAAAAAUAUUAGUCAUCGAUGAUAACUUAACUUAAUAAGUUAUGUAAAAGCAAUGAGUGCAUAUAUAACAUAAUAAAAUAAAUAUGAAAAGAUAAUUUAAAGUUAUAUAUUUCGUAAGUAUCUCACACAUUUGAUUUUGUAAGUGUGGAGCAAUUUAUACAUGAAAUAACUAGGAAGUAUUUCAAUAAUCAAACUAAUUGUAGUGAUGGAUCAAGGUAUGAGAGAGAUCCAUGUAUCUUCAAGUAUAAAUAAAUAAAAGAAUUUAAAUGAUAAAUAAUAAAAUGUGAAAUAAACUAUAAAAGAUGAACAAUAAACAAUGUGUUCAAAUAUGAUAACAAAAUAAACCUAUUUGCAAAGAAUUAAAUAAAAACAUAACAUUUAAUCAUAAUAAACAUUUCCAUCACCAAUUAGAUGGUCAAUUUUCCCAUUAGGAUUCUCAAAGAAAUCCGAAACAUCUAAAUGGGUUAGAUCCACUUGGCCAUCACUAUCAACGAAGUUCAUUUCAACUUCCUUUCCUUUUAUUGAUGUUUGGUAAAGGUCGACCAAAUGUUUUGGAGUAUGACAAGUACGUGACCAAUGUCCCUUCAUACCACAUCAUAACACUUAUUCUCAUGGUUCUUAGGAGGUUUAUCUUGUAAACACUUCCCAUUUUCUUGUUUUACCUCAGUAUUAUUCCACUUCUGGUAGUGCAAUGAGGCUUUCCUUUUCUGAGAAUUUGGUGAAUUAUUACUAUAAGAACCAUGGUAUCAGAGAUUUCUUCCAUGACCACAACCACGUCCUUGUCAUCGUUCACGAGUCUGGGACAAUAUUGCAUUCAUUUCAGGGAAUGAUUUAGAUCUAGUUGGUCAACGAGGCUGGUGAUUUCUCAUCAAAAGCUCAUUUUUUGUUAAACCUUCAUGGAGAUGAUGACGAAGAAAAAUUAGUGUUUUUGCACAAUCCUGCAGGGAUGCUUGAUUUCCUUUGAUCAUAGCUCCAAGAUUCAUUGACAAUUUUGUUUUGAAUAACUUCUGGUUAUACAAGAGAAUUAGAAAUUGUAUGCAUAGCUAUGAAACUAUUGUUAAUAAAAUUUGUUUUCCAUAAUUCCUGUUGUGAAAAAUAAGUGAGUACAAAAUAAAAAAUUAAAAGUCAAUAUUUUUCAUAACUUUGAAUUAUGAUCAUUUUGUCAAAAACAAGAAAAUAUGAAAAUUUGGACAUAGUUUCAGGCUAUGAACUAUUUAUGUAUAACUUCUAGUUACACAAUAUAAUUAAAAGAAAUUAAAGAAAUUAAAAGUUAAUAUCUUUCAUAGCUUCAGGCCAUGAUUAUUUUGUCAGAACAAGAAAAUAUUUAAAUUUGUACAUAGCUUUAGGCUAUGAACUGUUUUUUUUUUUUAUAUAAAUUUGUAUAUAGCUUCAGGUUAUGAACUAUUCAUUGGGUAGAUUUGUGCAUAGCUUUGGGCAAUGAACUUUCAUUAUGUAGAUUUAUACAUAGCUUUAGGUUACGAACAUUUAUUUAUUUUAUAGCUUCUGGCUAUAAUAUUGUUUGGUAUAACUUCUAGUUAUAUCGUAUAAUUAAAAAUAAAUAAUUAGGGAUCAUAUACAUAACAUCUGGUCAUGUAUUUGUAAUUUUAUAAUUUUCCCCAUAACUUUUGGUUAUAGUGAUUGCACAUAUUUUUCAUAACUUCUGGUUAUGAAUUUACCCCAUAAUUUAUAAUUUACCUCAUAACUUCUGGUUAUAGGGAUUAUACAUAUUUAUGUAUUUAAAUAAACUAAAUGAAAAUCGAAAUAAAAGGGUAAUAAAAUAGAAAAUCAUGAUAUAAGUUUAUCACAUACCUUUUUGUGAGAAAGAAGAGAAAAAAGUCUUUUUAUUUCUCUGAAAAGGAGAAUGUCUUUCUUAUUUCUCUGAAUAGAGAAAAAUCUUUCUAUUUCUUUUGUAGAGACUAGUCGUGCUGAUAACGUAUUGUAAAAUUAUAAAGUGAAAGAAGAAGAAAACAAAAAAGAAAAUUUAGAAUGUAGGAAGAUAAUAAAAUGCAUGAGAAAACUCUCUUGAAUUUCAUUAGGGGUCUUUCCCUUUUAUAGAGAGUUACAAAAGAUAUUUAUGGAUGAUCAUCCAUAAGUUACCAUAGUGGUACAAAAUCUCAUAUUUUAUAACAAUUAAUUUUAUUUUCUUCUAUUUUUGCUUCAUAUUUUCUCUUAAUUUUUUUGGAGUGUCAAGGUUGCUUUACUAGUAGAGUGUGUUUGGUACGUGAUAGUGAGGAAUGAUGAUAAAUAUUUUGUUUCUAUUUAUAUUCCCUCUAAGAAUGAAUUUCAUUAUUUUAUUUUAAUUCUUGUGUUUGGAUGUAUAUAGGAAUAUAAUAUUGAAAUGUUAAUUUAUUUCCAUCCAAUGUUAAGUAAAAAUGAGAAUGAAAAUGAAAAUAAAAAUGAUCUAUAAUGUCCGCUCAUAUGGUUUAAAUUUUUUUUUUUUUUUUAAAAAAAAAUCUCACAUUGCACAUAAUUUGAAAUAAUUUUUUAUUUCCAAAAUAAUAAAAAUUUAUUUAUGUGUGUGGUUUAUUAAUAAGUUUAAUAAUUUUUUAAAAAUAAUUUAAAACUCAAAAAAUAUAUAAUGACUAUACAAAAUAAUAGAUAUAAUUAACGUUUUAAUUUCUUUAAUAAAUCUUAUAAUUUUUAAGAAUAAUUUGAAAUUGAAAAAAUAAUAAUUAAUUAAAGAUUAAAUAAAAUAAUUUAUAAUGUUUUUUUUUUGCAUAUAAUGAAAAUUUUGGCUCAUUUAUACCUUAAAAAAUAAAUUUUGUUUUUUGAGUUAUUAUUUAUUUAUUUAUAACAAAAUAAAUCAAUUAAUAUUAAUAUCUAUAUUUUUAUAAUAUUUAUAAAAAAAAAAUCUAAUUUAUGGUUUUAUUAUAAAUUCAUAUUUUAUUAAAAAAAUAUUUUAAAAAUUUAUUUGUAAUUAAAAAAUUAUUUUAAUUUUAAUAAGACGUGAAUUAAAUUUAGUUUACAUUAUAUAAAUUGAAUUUAUAAUUUUUUUUUUUACAAAAUAAGAAAUUAUUUUUAAAAACAACUUAUCUAAUAAAGUCUUUAAUUUUUUAUUUUUUGCAAUAUAUUUGUAAAAAUAACUUACAUUAGGAAAUCAAAAUACCUCUUAGUUAUGAUGAAUUGAAAUUCCACUUACAAGUGAGAUUUCAUUUCCAUUGGAAUCACUUUUGAUUAUAUUUCCAUCAUCAUUUAAGUUAUCCAAAUAUGAUAAUGAAGGAGGAAAUGAAUAAGAUACCCAUUCCUACUCCUCAUUUCUGCAUACCAAACACGCCCUCAUAGUUUUUUCAACCCAAUGUUAGCUUGUAAAAUGCUUAAGAAGGCACUUGGAAUGCUUGGAUUUUAAUGCCUUGGCUUGUCAUAUAUUGAUUUUGUAAAAUUAGGCUUGUAUUUGUGAGUUUGUUGUAGUGUCCCACAUUGCCCGGGGAGUGAAUGGGGAAAAGCCAUAUAGGGAGGGCUUUCACAACACAUUAUCAAGGCCUUUUCUUAAGGGCAUAUACUCAAUAAAGAAGCAAAAACGGGAUUGGAUGGUGGACCAUUUGUGCCCCACUACAGCUCAAACUAGACAAUAUUGGGUGGAGAGUGGGCCAUAACAGAAUGGUAUCCAUACUUGAUCUUUGGUUGGAAGUGGGCCAUUAAGGACACUAGGCUCAAAAGGAGGUGGCUUGUAGUGUCCCACAUCGUUCGGGAAGUGAAUAAGGAAGAACCCUAUAUGAAGGGUUUUCACAACACAUUAUGGAGACCUUUUCUUAAGGGUGUAGGCCCAAUAAAGAAGCAAAACCAGGGUUGACUGAUGGGCCAUGUGUGCACCACUACAGUCCUUAAUCGGAUAAUAUUAGGUGGAGAGUGGGGUCAUGAUAGAUGAGUGUUUAAACAUUUUGAUUUGCAAAAGCAACCUUAUUUGGUAAUCUAUCUAUUUGAUUGAAUGGCUAUGAGAUUCAAAGUCACAUCUUCCAACUUUUUCGCUCUUAUUGUAGUGCAUUUGUUGUGUAUCUUGAGUCAGUGCAAAGAUCUAUUGAGGGAUCUCUAAGAACAUGCCCUAUUACUAGCAUUUCUACAUAACUUUGUAUGAAGUUUUCACUCAUCCAAAUCUUCCUUUGUUUUUGGAAAAAUAGUUAUCACCAUUCUUAAAAAAUCCCAUCUAAACUAUUUGAAUUAAUCUCUUAACCUCUUAUAGGUAGCUUAAGUUCUCUUUCUUGCAUAGUUCGACACUUAUCUCACUAGGAUUUUUGUUACUCAAUUGAAAUUAACAACCCUAUACUUAGGAAUAAGUGAACACCAACACAAUAUCUGGGCUCAAGUAUUUUAAAGAAAGGCUAAUACGCUACCUUAAUUUCUAGUGUAAUUCUAGAAUCAUUUAUGUUCUUGUAUUCGGUGCUAUUAAUACAAACUAGACAUGGGCAAUGAUCUUGUGAAUGUAUGUGAGAAGAGAAAAUUUGACUUCGGAAUGAAAUGGUCGUAAAUAAAAAGUAGGAAGAUGAAAUAAGAGAUUGUUGCUCCAAGGUUAUGUAGAGACUUCAAUUAAAUAGCUAAGGAAGAAAAAAGAUAUUUGUGGAAGAUCAUUUAAGUCAAAUUCUUUGAUGAAAUCCUUGAAUUCGAGGAUAUCAGACAUCUAAAAUUAGUGAUUUUGAUCCAUUCUUUUCUCUUUGAUACUAUUAAUGAUUUAGAAAAGUGCAAGAUCAUUCAUUGAUAAUUAAUUAUGAAAUAUAAAACAGGUUUUAUAGUAUGCAAAUUAUCAUAAUGAAACUUUAGAAUAUAAGAUGAUUCAAAAACAAAAACAUUUUAGAAUUAAAGUGAAACAUGAAAUCAUUUGCACACAAAGAAAGAAGAUGAAUGCUUCAAAUGAAAUCAAAGUAGAGCACCCUACAAUAGAUGUCUAAGUAGACAAAAACUAUCAAACCAAAAAGCCAUUCCCAACGAUCUUACAAAACUCCAAAAGAAUGUGGUUUUCAUGGGUCAUUUAAAGCCUUCCAUUCUGGUAAUUUACUAGAUAAAUUGUUGUAAGCUACAACAAAGACUGCCAAGUUGUUUUGCUCUAUAAGUUGUGGAAGAAUGAGACCAAUUAACCUAAUGUUGGACAGAUCCAAACUUUUUAUAUCCUUUAAGAUUGAAAAAGUCAUUGAGAUGGAUCCAGUUAAAAGUGGUUAUAGAAUAAGUUUAGUUUAUGUACUACCUCACUAAGAUAUGCAAUUUCAAGAGGAAUUAUUCUUACGAAGUUGUUACUUGAGAGGCCCAUUCUAGACAUGAAGUACAAAAUGCCUCAUCUACUAGAUUCAGACCUACUUUUUGUUAUGAAAUCCACUACUUCAACUCCAUAAACAAUGUGCACAAAAUUUUACUUCCAAAUGAGUAUGGUUGUUGAGAUAAAGCCAAUACUAACAUAUUCAAUUAUACCAAACACAUCUUUCGUUGCUUAUUUCCUUCCAAGUGCUAUAUUUAAGCAAGUAGGUAUUGGACCAGAGAAAUUAUUGUGAGAAAGAUCCAUUAUGCUUAUUGAUUUUAGCUUAGUAGGAAUUAAAUCUUCAAGUUCAGUUUGUCUCAAGAGAAAAAGCCUCAUAUUUGAGAUGAAACUAAUCUGAGGAUUUUUUCCUGAAAAUUUAUCAUCCUUGAAAUCCAAUGUCAUGAGAGAGGGACUUCUUGAUAACAUAUGGUAGAGGUCCUCUGAUUCCAUGCCCAGCUGGUGUUCCUUGAUUUUGGUCCUCAGACAGGAGUAAUCAACAAAAUUUAUAACCUAUAUCACCAUGUACUAGGAUAGCCUCAGCUAGCAUAGCAUAGUGGCUCUAGGAUCGUUCACUGGGAAGGGUUUUCAACUUACAACUGAUAAUAAUUCAAAGUUGAAUUGAUGUUUUUUCAUUUCAAGGUUAGCUUCAAAAGAAAACAUAAACUUUGGUUUAAAAAGGAUUGGUUUUAAGCUAACUAAAAAUAAAGUAACGGAAAUUACUUAUAAAGAAAAGUGUUUCUUGGAGUUUUACGAUCACUGGGGUCAGGCUCCUAAUAUAAAAACAGAGUUCCGGUCACUUGAACUUUUCCUCGCAUUAGAGAAUUAACAUAUAGUUAUUUCUCUAACCGGUGUGGUAUAGAUGAUUCCCUUUUAUGGAUUCAAACACUAACUUUCUCUCACUGAUUCAUCUUGCAAUGACUCGUGCCUCUCACCUAGCAUUUUCCAUUCAAGGUGAUCCUUAACCUUGGAUUUCCCUUCACAAGCUCGCAAGAGAUAACUAAUGGAUGUCUCCUUAAAGUCCAAAAGCUUACCAAGUGUUGGCUAUUCUAGAAAAUCUUACCUUCAAACCACCUCCCAAAGGCUCGCAAGAGAUAAACUAGUGCAUCUCAAUGGACGGAGAUCACUUGCCUUACCAAGUGUUGGGCCAGGUGAUUUAAAGGCGUUUUAAGUUAACUAAAAACAUAGAAACCAUUAACGGGUUACACUUUCUCUUCAUUAAAAGCUGAAACAACAAAACUUUCAAUUCUUGCAUUCGGCACCUUACCCAGUUUCCUUAACUCCAAGAGACAAAAAGUCUAGCCACUCAUUCUCUGAGGAAACAUCCUCAGAGCUUGUUUGGCUAGUAAGAAAAAUACAAUCAAAAUGAGUAGGUAAGGUAGAGCAAAGCUCUGUAUAUUACUUCCUUCAAAACUAUACAAAAAGUUGUCUCUGAGAACAAGCUCCUGAGAUGUCUGUGUAAAGAAAAUUACAAACUAUAUAUAUGAGGUUAUUCACCCUUUGUUGUUACUUAUUAACUAAGGAAUCCUAUGAUUGGUGGAUUACAAGGAGAGAAUGGGGAUUUAAACAACAAAUAUCUAAAGAAAAAAAAUCUAAAAGAGUCGGUCACAAAUAUCUGGAAGCACUUAGGUGGAUUUCACAGGCAUACAAGAUAGGCUGCGAAAUUUCGCAAGCUGAAAGUCUCCAUUUCGCAGCCAAAGGUUGAUUUCACAGCUAGCACCUUGUGAUUUCGCAGUUGCGAAAUUGGCCUUCAGCUUAGUGUGAUUGGCUUCCAACGGCUAUAACUUCUUCAUUUCAACUUUGAUUUAUGCACCGUUUGAAGUGUUGGAUUUAUGACUUCCCGAACUUCAAAAUGAAAUAUAGUAGGCAUGAAAUAGACUCCAAAAAGUGCUCUAAUACUUAACACAAUUUGAUUGGAAACGAUUGCAAAGGUACUUAAUAUGCCAAUAGAGCUAAAAGGUAAUAACUACUACUCAAAAGUGUUUAAAAGAGUUAAUUACAAGCUACAAAAUAACACUUUUUAAGUAGUAAUCAUCCUCUAAAUUCAUUAAAAACCUCACCAUUGAUAGAUUGACAUAAGGUGGUAUACUCGAUCCAUGUUUGUUCUAUAAAAGAUUUAAAAAGUGAAGUUUGUUGAGCUUGAAAAAGCCUGCUGGUAUUGGCCCUUCCAAAUUAUUUGUGGACAAAACAAGUGAAGUUAACUUAGGCAAGUCUCCAACUCUAUCAAGGAUUUGACCAGACAGUAAGUUACUGCUUAUAUCCAAAUCUUAGGAAAGAAUUAUUUAAACCAAAAUCUCUCAAACCAAGCUAUUAUUUUUUAAAUAUAAAAAACAAAGUUGUCUCAAGUUUGACUCUAUAAGAAGAGUUCCAUACAAAUUAUUGUUUGAUGACUCCAAAAAUCUCAAUGACACAACCCAUGAGCAAGUUCUUAGGUAGUAGUCAUGAGAAAUUGGUAUUGGAUAAGACAAAAUUGUUGGGAUUAAGCCCCUUAAAGCAAGACAUGAGAUGACAAAGUUAGACUUACCUGUCCCCUUGUAAUCCAUUUGGUGUAUUGGCAUUGAUUUGAGCAUUCAACCUAUGUCUCUUACAUUGUACAUGACUUGAGUACAUUAGGAGUUACAUAAAAGAUACAAGCAAUGGGUUCCUUAUAAGUAGAUAAGUUGUCCAUAGUCAGUUCAUGGAUUUAGGCAAUUCAGUAGUGACUGUAGUGAACCGUCUCCUAAUUGGAGGGAUGACUUGUCUUGACCAUCAGGAUGGGUUUUCCAUGGUGAGUAUACCAAUGUAAGUGAUGCAUAUUAGACAUGACCUACGAUGAAUCAUGAUGCAAGGCUUUCAAUUGUUAUGAUUCACUAAACUACUUUACUACAUGGAUUCUCAAGUUUAAAAGGACAUUGAGUCUAUGUCAAAAUCAAAAGGAGGCUUUAAACUAUGGGUGAGACCCUAAAGUGGUUAUAUAUCCAUAUGGAUUGAGUCAUUAUUGAUAGAGACUAGUGACAAUAGGUAUUCUUAAUAAAGGCACCAUGAUAUCUCAUAGGAUUGAGACAAUGUGUCUCAUUGGGUAAUCCAAAUGACAUGUGAUCAUAAAAUAUGUGGCCAUAGUAAUUCCCUUAGUGAAAUUUGACAUAUACUCAUUGGAGUUAAAGUAUCUCAGUUGAUCACAUAAUAAGUGAGAUCUGUAACUCAAGGAUUUGAGAGGCAACCAUGAUAGGUGAUAACAAUACCUUGUUAUAUUAUGAACACCAGUUCAUGGGGAGUCUGGAUGCAAUAUAUAGUAGGUUAUGGACUUGAGCACUUUGUCACAGACUUAGUCUUUUCUUAAGCUCGUGUGACACUUAGACAAGCCAAGACCCUUGAUCUUGCUAAGUCAACCUUACUCCCAAUGCUUAGCUUGCUAGGUUAAGACGCUUGCGACUCAAAAGAUUUAGAAGGUGUAGUAGGCAACUCUUAAAGAAUGAAAGCUUUAUUGCUUUCAAAGGAAGCUAUAAAAAGCUUAGAAGCUCACUUGCUUGGUUAGGAAGUGAUUUGGGUGGUGCCUUGGCCAAAUGAGGCCCUCACCUAUUUAUAGGCACCAAUGGAACUCUCUGGAACCUUGGAGGGUUUCUUACAAAUCAAGAAAAUUCUAGAAUACCUUGCACAAUUCUAUGUACAACCCUAUGUACAAGAGAUCUCUAGAAUUCUCUAGAAAGCCUUGGACUCCUCUCAUGCCUUCCACCAUAGUGUAAAGAUGUGUAGACAUCUCUAGGCAUCUCUAGAAUCUUCCACACUUUUCCCUCCAAUGGCUUAGUGUAGAUGGCUCCAAGAGUCUCCAGAAGCUUCUUGGGAUCUAUAUAAACCCAUGAGGAGGCUCAUUUGAAGCAUCCUGUGACACUCUCCCCCACCUAUGCCGUCGACAUCCUCGUCGUUGCCUUUUUUUGAAACCUUUCGAUGUGUUUCCAGAACCUUCUCAAGGCAUCCGCAUGUUCCCAACUUACCUGCCUCCUAGGUAGUCAUUUCCAUCGGACUAGAUACUUUAUCACAAGAGGGACCCUUUGUCUCCUGGUGACCUAUUCAGCCAGGAUAUUUUUCACUUCUUUUUCUUGUGAGGCCUUGGAUGGAUGCAGAUCCCUGCACUUUCGAUGCUUGGAGUGCUGCUUUCUCUUACCCAUCAAGUUCACCUUUGCCUUGGUCACCUUGUCAAUGUAUGUGUGGGCUACCUUAGCUUACUCCCCUUUUCUCUCAUUUAUUUGCACCCUUGAUAGUAAGGAGGUCUUAGGUGUACUAGGAUUUGGGUUGAAUUGGAGGGCACCUAGUAGUUGCAUCGAGCCCAUAUGUGCUUUGUCUUCCUGUUCCAUCUCCUCGAUCAUGGCAUUGAGCACCUUCCUCUUUGGAUAAUGUCGUGCCCAAUGUGGACUAUCACAUAGGAAGCAUUUGAUUUUAGGCGUAAACUCCUUCCUUUUUGCUUUACCCCUUCCUUCUUGGACAUUAGGCGUCUUGCCUGAUCCCAUUCUAGGAGCAUUGUGGUCUCUUGAGACCUCGUCUCCCCUACUUGUGGCGUGGCUAUCCUCCAAAGACUCAACCUUGGAUAAGUCUCCCCUCUUGUAAUCCGUUAAAGACUCUGCUACUGCCAUAGCAGUGGUUAAGUCCUGAAUGCCUCGACGCCUUAAUUCCUACUCGGCCCACCCUUGCAGGUUAUCCAUGAAGUUGAAUAGCAACUCAUCCUCAGUCAUGUUAGGAAUCUCAAGCAUGAGUGAAGAGAAUUCCUUGACAUAGUCGCGUAUCAAGCUUGUGUGCUUGAGACGUUUCAUGUUUUUCCUAGCCAAGUAGCAGCCUUGUAGAUGGCCAACUCCUGCCUAACCUCCUAGUCUUGGGACUCCAUUCGAGUGGCCAAAGCCUCUAUCCUUGACUCCAUGCUAGCAAGCAUGCUCAAGACCUUUUCUUGGAAGGACACAAACUCCUCGUGCGACACUAGCUGAACCUGUGAGACUAGCACCCUCUCACGAAGGUCUUGGAUUUGCUCCCUUAGAUCCUCUAAACCCUUCUCCAUGCCUUGCUCAAUCAAGUCCAACCCCUCCCAAGUGUCCGCCAUGGCUAGCUCACUUUGGCUAACCUUGCCUCCAUGUUAGCAACGACAUCAUGAGAUUUAUCCUUCUUGCCCCUGCCCCAUGCAGUAGGCUCAGUCUCUCUCUUCUCCUCCAUGUUAGAGUCCGACAUGCUUCUUUUACUAUGCCCGCUUCGUAGCCAUGCUCUGAUACCACUUGUCACGGACUUAGUCUUUUCCUAAGAUUGUGUGGCAUUUAGACAAGCCAAGACCUUUGAUCUUGCUAAGUCAGCCUUACUCCAAAUGCUUAGCUUGCUAGGCUAAGACGCUUGCGACUCGGAAGCUUUAGAAGGCGUAGUAGGCAACUCUUAAAGAAUGGAAGCUUUAUUGCUUUCAAAGGAAGCUAUACAAUGCAUAGAAUCUCACUUGCUUGGUUAGGAAGUGAUUUGGGUGGUGCCUUGACCAAAUGAGGCCCUCACCUAUUUAUAGGCACCAAUGGAACUCUCUGGAACCUUGGAGGGUUCCUUACAAAUCAAGAAGAUUCUAGAAUACCCUACACAAUUCUAUGUACAACCCUAUGUACAAGAGAUCUCUAGAAUUCUCUAGAAAGCCUUGGACUCCUCUCAUGCCUUCCAUCAUAGUGUAGAGAUGUGUGGACAUCUCUAGGCGUCUCUAGAACCUUCCACACUCUUCCCUCCAAUGGCUUAGUGUAGAUGGAUCCAGGAAUCUCUAGAAGCUUCCUAGGCUCUAUAUAAACCCAUGAGAAGGCUCAUUUGAAGCAUCAUGUGACAACUUGGUGUCUUAUUCUAAUAUACAUAGGGUAUUGGAGUAUAGUUGACUCUUUAUAGUGAGAUGUUGAGUCAAUUUCAGAAUUGAAUUCUAUGGGAGAUAAUACUCCUAUAGAUACCAAUGGUUCCUACUCUGAGCUCAUAUUCCUUGAUGACACGGUUUAUGAGGGUUUGGUGGUUUUUAGUUCACUUUUGUGGAUAAGGGCAUUUUGGUAAUUACACAAGGUUGCAUAAGGAUAAGUGAGUGGUACCUCUAGACUGGACUAAUUGAUUAAUUAGGGUCUUAUAUGAUUAAUUAAUUGAUUAGCAAUCUUUUUUAGGUUAGAUUAAGUGACCUAAGCCCAUAGUGGGCUUAAGUGACUUAAGCCUAGUAGGAAGCCUAUAAAUACCCCUUUAAGGGUUAGAAUUUCCAUGUCUUGCCAUUUUCUCCCUACAAUUUAAAGAGAGAACCCUGACCUUCACCUUUGAAAUCUCAACUAUCUCAAUGCCUAGACAUAAGGAAAAGUCAUCGGGUGGAAGAUCAUGAUGUUUAUGAGAUUCAUUAUGACUUUAAAGUUAUCUACAUCAAUUGGAAUCGAUCCGAGAACAUCUGAAUUAAAGGUAUGUGACUUUAUUCUUUAGAUCUUGGAUUUCUAUGACAUCAAUAUUGAUUUUUGAAUAUCUAGUUUUUCGCUAUGAUAGAUUUAGAGAGCUUAAGAUAGAUUUUCAUGCAUCUUAUGAUAUUUAAUGCCUAAGAACGGGGUAAUCUGGGGUUCCCUACGAAAAUUUCCAAUUUUUUCAUAUUGCCCACCAGGAAUUUUAACUUGCAAUGAAUUCCCAAACAAGUUGAAGACAACCAAGUUUGGAAAGGCAAGGCUUACUUGAGGUGGAAGAUCAUGUCCAACAAAAUCAUGUAAAAAUUGCUUGAAUCAGAGACUAAAUCACAAACAGCUAUUAAGAUAUUACCUCUAAUUAAAAUUUAGGAAUUCAAAAUUUAUAUUUUCACCAAUGACCACAUUAGAACAUCGCUGGUCAUGCCAUUAUGAUUGAGGUCAACCCCUUUCAAUUCAUAUUGAUUAAUAGAAAACUGUGUAUAACAUUACAAUGGUUAUUUGAUGAUAAGGGUAGGUUAGCUUUGACAAGCUACUCUUAGGACUACUAUGAACACCAAUAUUUAUAUGAUCUUAAAGACCUUGACAUUUUCCUUUAGGAUGGCUAAGGGGAUUUCAAAGAUUAUAAGGCGUUCAUAUGGAAGUUAAAGGUUCUUCAAGUUCUUCUGUCAAAAAGAAUAAGAAGAACACCAAAUGAGGAAAGUUCAAGGGAAAGAAUAAAAAAGCAAACUAAAGGGUAAGUGAUUCCUUUAUGACCUUUUAAGACAGUAGAAAAGGAAUGCCUAGUUUAGCUAAAGGAAAAAAAAAAGUAUACAUCAUUUUCUCCUUGUUGAAUAUUUAAAGGUGGAUUUCACCAUUUAUGGUGGAUAGAUUCCAAACUUACUGUUUAUAAGUCCUUAUAGGAUAUUCAACAAAUGUGAAGGUUAAAUGAUGUGAUUAUAUAUUCUUUUAUAUGUAUUCCAUUAUCACUUUGUCAAGUGAUGAGAAUAGUCAAAUCUCAAGAUUGAACCUAGUACUAAUUAAACAUUUGGUAUCUAAACCUAGGUCAUAUUAAUCUAAAUAGGAUCCAAAGACUGGUAAAGUUUGAACUUUUUUUAUUCAAGAAGAUCUUCCAAUCUAUAAAUCAUGUAUAAAUGGUAAAAUGGCGAAGAGGAUUAGAGCUAAGGAAUGUUUGGAGUCAGUGCAUACUAACAUGUAUAUAACUUUUAGUAUCUAUGCAUGGGAAAGGUAUGAGUAUUUCAUCACUUUCAAUGACAAUUAUUCUAGGUUUGGAUAAGUACAUAGGAAAUCUGAUACCUUGGAUACAUUCAUUGAAUUUAAGGCGGGAUCAAUAAACUAUUGGGUAUACAUACCAAGUCAUUUCAAUUAGAUCAAAGUGAUAUGUCUAAUAAGUUUGAUUCUUUUUGUUGGAGCAUAGGAUUAUUUUCCCAGAUUAUUUUAGAGUUAUGUCUUACUGAUUAUGUAAUACUUCUUUUUCUUAAGAGGUAUAUCAAUUUAUAGGAUAUCUAAGCAAUUUUUGGGUUAUCAUAUUUAUAGUCAAGAUCAUUAGAAGAUAUUUUUUUUACACAAAUGUUAGAUUUUAUAUAAAGACUAUAUGAUAAGGAAUAAAACAAAGAGUGAUAUAGAUUGGCAAAUAUAUUAGAAAAUAGUCCCAUAUUUCAUAAUAUACUAUGGAUUUAGAGGGUAAGAAAUAUACCAUUCCUAUGGUUUCUAGUACACCAGUACCUCAGCAUAGUGACAGGUUUAUAUCACAUAGAUUAUGAUGAAACAGUGAAUAGUGUUUGUGCUCACUUAAGGUAAUGAGCUAUGAAGAAGUAGUUAUAAUUUUUUAUUCUAACAUAGUUUGGGUUCCUGUACAAUAACCUAAAGGGAUAAAACCCAUAGGUGUAAGUUAGUUUACAAGAGGAACACAUGAGUAAAUGGACAACUUGAGUUUUAUGUGGCUAAGACUGUAGCUAAAGGUUAUAGUUUGAAACUUUGUUUCAACUAUGGAAAACCUUUUCAACCAUGGUCAUACUCAAAUCCAUCAUAAUACUCCUAUCUAUUGCAACGUGUCUCAUUUAUGAGAUAUAACAACCAAACAUUUGCAUAGCAAAGGGCCUUAUGUGUACCAAACGACAUAGGGAAGCAUGGUGAUGCUCUAAGAUCUUAUAGGUAGAUAACAAUAUACUUAUUGGAUAUGAUAUAGGGAUAUUGUCAUCUAUCAAGAUCUAGUUGUUUGCUUAAUUCUAGAUAAAAAUCUAGAGGAAGACGCAAUAUAUUCUUGGGGUUAAGGUUCUUUAGGACUAUAAGAAUAGGAAAAUCGUGUCAUGUCACCUACAUUGUUGAGCAUUUGGUUAAGUACAUGAUGAAAACUCAAAGAACGAUUUGUUACUCUUUAAGUUUGGAGUUGUCUUUCUCAGGAUCAAUGACCUUGGACAUCUAUGGAAAAAAGUCACAUUAAGGUGGUAUUUUAUGCCUCUACAAUGGAUAGCCUUAAGUAUGCAAUGUUAUGUGCUUGACCAGAUAUUUACUUUGUUGUAUGAAUGAUGAGUACAUAUUAGUCCAAUUCAAGAUUAGAGUUUUGGGCAGAUGCCAAGCAUAUACUCAAGUAUCAUUGGAGAGCGAGGGAUUAUAUGUUUAUGAGUCUUUGCGAUAAGUUGGUGCUCUUUUUGUAUUGAGAAUUAAACUUUCAGUCCAAUGAGGACUAGUGCAGGUCUAUUUUUAGGCAUGUGUAUACUCUAAAUAGUCUUCGUAGCUUUUGAAGCAACAAAUAAAACCUUUUAGCUUAUGAGUAGUUCCAUUGGCUAUAUCGUCUAAGAUACUAUGAUGUAAUAACGGUGGGACAGUGGCAUAGUCUAAAGCACCGAAGUACUACUAGAAGAGGAAACACAUAGAGAGGAAGUGUUACCUUAUUAUGAGAUAGUAUAGGAAGAUGAUAUGAUUGUGGAGUAGCAUCUUUUUGCGAUGCCUAGUUUGUUUUUGUGGCUAGUAGGAGUUUGUUGGGAUUAAGCCCCUAAAAGCAAGACAUAAUGUAACAAAGUUAGACUUAACUAUCCCUUGUUAUUCUUUUGGUGUAUUGAUAUUGAUUUAAGUAUUCAAUUGAUGUCUCUUACAUUGUAUAUGACUUAGGUGCAUUAGGAGUUGUAUAGAAGAUACAAGUAAUGGGUUCCUUGUAAGUAGAUAAGUUGUUUAUAGUUUGUUUAUGGAUUUGGACAAUCCAAUAGAAAUUAUAGUGCACCACCUCCUAAUUGGAGGGAUGACUUGUCUUGGCCAUCGAGAUGAAUUUCCAAUGGUGAGUGUAGUGUAUGUGAUGCACACUGAAUAGGACCUAUAGUGAAUCAUAACAUAAGGCUAUCAAUUGUCAUGAUUCACCAAGCUACUAUACUGCAUGGACUUUCAACCUUGAGAGGAUAUUGAGUCUGCCAAAAUCAAUAAGAGGCUUUGAACUAUGGGUUGAGUCAUAUAUCCCUAUGGGUUGGGUCACUAUUGAUGGAGGUUGGUGGUAAUAGGUAUUCUCAAUAGAGGUACCAUGAUAUCUCAUGAGAUUGAGAUAGUUUGUUCCCUUAGGUAAUCCAAAGGUCAUGUGAUCAUAAAAUCUGAGGCCACAUUAAUUCCUUUAAUAGAAUUUGACAUAUGCUCCUUAGAGUUAGAGUAUGUUAGUUGAUUACUUAAUAAGUUGGAUUUGUAAUUCAAAGAUUUGAGAGGUAAUCUUGAUAGAUGAUAACAUUACCUUUUUAGAUUAUGAACACCAGUUUAUGAGGAGUUUGCAUGUAAUAGAUAGUAGGUUAUAGACUUGAGCUUCGUCUCGUUUUUAUUUACAUAGGUUACUAGAGUGUAGUUUAUUCUCUUUAGUGGAAUAUUGAAUUAACUUUAGAAUUGGAUUUUGAGAGAGUCCGUACUUCUAUGGGUCCCAUUGGUCCCCGCCCUAAGCUCAUAUACCAUGAUGUCAUAGUUUAUGAGGGUUAGAUUAACUUUAAGUUCUUUAUUGUGCAUAAGGGUGUUUUGGUAAUUACGUAAGGUUAUAUAGUGGAUAAUGAACAAGGUCUCUAGAUUGGACUAAUUGAUAAAUUAGAUAACCCUAUGUGGUUAAUUAAUCAAUUAGGACUUGUUUUGGGUUAGAGUAAGUGAACUAAGCUUUAAUGGGCUCAAGUCACUUAAGCCCAAUGGGUAACUUUAUAAAUACCCUCUUAUGGGUUAAGUUUUCCUAAUGAUUUUCAGUUAGUCACUUUCCAUCUUAAGAAAGAGAGAGAGAGGAGAAAAAGAAAAAGAAAGAGAGAGAGAGCUAAAGCUUCCUCUCUUUCAUUGCCCACUCUUUGGAGUACCAAGAUCGUUGUUUGAGUCAUCAGGCGAAAAAUCUGGGGUAUAUGAGACCUCCAUAUUUUUCAGGCAUGUUAUUCAAUAGAUGGAUUUUUAUUUGGAACAUCCAGCUUAUAGGUAUGAGUUUUAAAUCUCUAGAUCUUUAUUCUAAAAUGGUUUUGAAGCCAUUAUUUUAGUUGAAUUUGAUCUAGAGAUCCCUAAGGAUAGAUGCAUGUACCCUAUGAGAUCUAAGACAAGGGAAUGGAGUAAUACAAGGUUCUAAUUAUGAAGAACAAAUUUGAAGUUGUUGAAGAUCUUGUUUACCCACUAGUCUUCCACCUCGAUCUCUCCUUACACAUAACCAGGCAUAAGAAAAGUGUGAACUUUUCUUUAUAAAGGGUGGCUAGGGUUUUUCUUUAGAGGCUUUCUCUGGAAAAUGAUGGAAAAUUUGAAACCCUAAUCCCUAAUAGGGGUAUUUAUAGGGCUUCUUAUGAGCUUAAGUGACUUGAGCCCAAAUUGGGCUUAACUCACCUAAUAUAGCAUUACUAAGUCCUAAUUAGUUAAUUAUCCUUAAUAGACUCCAAUUAAUUAAUUAGCUCAUGCUAGAAAAAAAAUUCAUAAGAUCUAGUGCAAACUUGCAUUUUUACUAAAACACCCUUAUACACACUUCUGAACCAAAAACAAAAAUCUCUCAAAAUAAACAUGUCUCUAUAUAAUAAGAGCUCUAGUAGGGACCAUUGGGAACCAUAACAAAAUAUUGGCUCUUUCAAAAAUCUGAUUAUGAAGUUGAUUCAACACUUUACUAAAGAAAAUUAAUUGCACUCUAAUAUCCUAUGAAAUUACAACAAGCAUAGCUCUGGCUCGAGCCCUACUAUCCACUUCAUGCAAAUUCUCCAUGAACGGUCCACAAUUUAACAAGGUAGUGUUAUCACCUAUCAAGAUUAUCUCUUAAAUCUUUAAGUUAUAGAUCCUCUUUAUUAUAUGAUCAAUUAACAUACUCUAGCUCUAAGGAGCAUAUGUCAAAUUUCCAUUAAAGGAAAUGUUAUGACUAAUAUUUUAGAUUAGAUGUCCUUUGAAUCACAUAAGGGGACACACUAUCUUAAUACCAUGAGAUAUCAUAGUGUUUUUAUUGAUAAUAUCUGUUGUCACUAGUCUCCAUCAAUAGUGACCUAAUCCAUAGGGAUAUAUGACUACUUUAUGGUCUCACCCAAUGAGUCAAAAUCUCCUAUUGAUUUUGGCGCAAACUUAAUACCCUCUCAAGGUUGAGAGUCCAUGUAGUAUAAUAGAUGGGUGAAUCAUGAUAACUAAUAGUCUUAUGUCAAGAUUCAUCGUAGGUCCUAUCUAGUAUGCAUAAGAUACACUAGUGCACUCACCAUGAAAAAUUCAUCCCGAUGACCAAGAUAAGUCAUUCCUCCAAUUAGGAGGUAGUACACUAUAGUCUCAUAUGGAUUGCCCAUAACUUAGAUUUUCUAUGUAACUCCUAAAGCAUUCAAGUCAUGUAUAUUGCAAGUAAUGUGAGCAUUUAUUCUCAAAUAACCAAUUAAUGCAUACGAGAUAGGAAAAAGGAAACAAGGAAACAUAAAUAGAUAGAUUUAUAAAUGAGUUUUUAACCUAUUAGAUCAUGUCAUACUUUUUAGGGCUCAAUCUAAAAAAAAAGUCAUAAUUGAGGAGUAGCACAAAUAAUCAAUUGAAAAAGUAGGCAAUAUCAUGGUUCUUGCAUUGAGUAUUAUUAUGAAAGGGCUUACUUAAAGCCACCUAACAAGUUGAGUCUUAACAUAAUAUUUCUUACAUCUUGGAGCGAAAUCACAAUAUUAUAGUAAAAUAGGCUUACGAUUCAUCAUAAAUUAUACCUUAAGAAUUUAUUAGAAUAUUGGCAUAUAAUAGGGAGCUAACCUAUAAUAAUCAUUAAAUCCUAAACAGUUACUCCUUAUGGUUUGAUGCACACUAAUAGAAUAUGGGAAGAAAUUUAAAUGAGGAACUAGCACAACCAAAAGAAUAAAAAUUGGUAAAGAAAAAAAAAUGAUGGCAUAAAAGUUGUGUUUUGCAUUAAUUCAAGGCCACGAGCAAGUGACUAGGCAUAGGGCUAGCCAAAAGUGUUAAGCACUUUGCAAUACAAUAAAUGUUAGAAAUAUAUGGAUUUCUCUAUUUCUUGUCCCUAAAUCUCAUAAGGUGCAUGUAAAUUAUCCUAGGCUUCUCUAAAUCUAUCAUAGGCGAAACAUAUGGCUAUAAAAUCCAUACUAGGAUAAAAAUCUAAAGAUAUAGUGCUCAUACUUGAAUCUGGAUGUUCUUAAAUUGAUUCCUUGUAGUGAAAAAUAUGCUUGAAGGUCUCGUACACCCAAAAUCUUCUGCUCGAUGACUCAAACCACAAUCUUGGCACUCCAAAGUGUAGGUUUUGGAAAUAAGGAAGCUAUCGUUUUCUUUCUUUGGAGAUGGAAGAAGGCUAUCACCAAAAUGUGAUGGAAACCCUAACCCCCUUAAGGGGUAUUCAUAGGGUACCCCUACUAGGCUUAAAUGACUUGAGUUGAACAAGGUUUGAGUCACUUAAUCUAGCCUAAAAUAGGACUUAAUUUAUUAAUCAAUUAGCCUAAUCCGGAGACCUUAUUCACUAUCCCCUAUGCAACCUUACAAAAUUACCAAAAUGCCCUUAUGCACAAAAGUCAACCUAGAGUCAAUCUAAUCUCAUAAAUCAUGUCAUUAUAGUAUAUGAGCUUACAUCGAGGACCAUUUGGACCCAUAGGAGUACUAGCUCUCUCAUAAUGCAAUUCUGAAGUGGAUUCAACAUUUCACUAAAGAAAAUCAACUACACUCAGUAUCCUAUGUAAAUAACAAUGAGAUAAAGCUCAAGAUCCGUGACCUACUACCCACUACAUGCAGACUCCCUAUGAAUUAGUGUCCAUAAUCUAACAAGUUAGUAUUAUCAUCUAUCAAGAUUACCUUUCCAAUCCUUGAGUUAUAGAUCUCACUUAUUAUGUGACCAAAUGACAUAGUCUAACUCAUAAAAAGCAUAGGUCAAAUUCCAUUUAAGGAAUUACUAUGGCGUCAUAAAUUUCAUGAUAACAUAUCCUUUGGAUCACCUAAGGGGACACAGUGUCUCAAUCUAUGAGAUAUUAUGGUGUCUCUAUUGAGAAUAACUAUUGUCAUUGGCCUCCAUCAAUAGUAACCCAAUCCAUAGGGAUAUAUGACUACUUUAGAAUCUCACCCAUAGGUCAAAGUUUCCUAUUGAUUUUGGUAUAAGCUCAAUAUCCUCUCAAGGUUGAGAGUCCAUGCAAUAUAGCAGUUUGGUAAAUUAUGACAAUUGAUAGCCUUGCUCAUGAUUCAGCAUAGGUCUUGUUCAGUGUGCAUUACAUUCAUUAGUGCACUCAUAGGAAAUCUAUUUUGACGGCCAAUACAAGUCAUCCCUCUAAUUAGGAGGUGGUGCACUGCAAUCUCUAUUGGAUUGCCCAAACUAUGAACUGAUUAUGAACAACUUAUCUACUUACAAGGAACUCAUGACUUGUAUCUUUCGUGCAACUCCUAAUGCACCUAAGUCAUGUGAGAAAAUAAAAGACUAAUCUAAUAGAUAAAAACACCCAAGAGGCACAAUAAAAUUUAGCACAAGAAGCACAAAUAUAAAGAGAUAAAGUUAUAGAAUGCAAAGUCAGAUUUAUAGUGGUUCGACACUUUCUUGCCUACAUCCACUCUCCUCAAGUUCCUAACCAAGUGAGGGUUCCACUUAUACUUGAAGCUUCAACCAAGCUUCUAAUCAUUUUUACACUUGGAUUUCGACUCUAAUGGGCUCUUACACAAUCUCUUCAAGUCUUUACUCACGUGAAGACUUUAACACUCAAUUAACAAGUAUGAAUCUCUCAACCUAAUUCAACAAUGGCUCAAAUACAACUCAAGGCUAGAAUGAAUCACAAGGGUGCACUAAAGAAUAUGUAAAUGAAGAUUUAAUGCACCAAGAAAAGAAUGAGAGCUUUUAUGGCAAGAAAAAGUAGGUAAACAAAUAAAUGUAGGUGUUCUCUUCUACGUAAAUGAAUUGGAGCUCUCAAUUUAUAGGUUUCUAAUCUCGGGAGCCAUAAAAAAAAUAAAAAGCAACCUUGACUGGUCGAGCUGGGGGUCUCCUAUAUCUAGUCUCCUAGAUCCUAAAAUAUCUCCCCCUUUUGGCAACAUCAAAAAGGAAGAAAUGGGGGUCUCUAAUGAAUCAAGGCUGAUGAGGUAAAGGUGGAAAUACAGAACGCAGAUAGGUCAUCAUCUCUUCACGCGAACGCUCCAAGCGAUCCUCAAUACACUUAACCCUCUGCUAGAGAUACUCAAAUUGCGAAGUAAAGCCAACCUGAUACUGAUCCAUAUAAUCCUCCAUGGAGUAGAAACGUGUAUCACUAACCACAACAAGCUCCUCCAUGCGAGUGCCAAGAGAGGUGAUCUAAGCAGAUAAAUCCAUCCAUUGAGCAUGGUCAGGAGCGAGAAGUGCCUGAGGAGGUGGUAUCUCAGUAUGGGUAGGCUCAGUGAAUGAUGGCUGAGUAGAUGGACCCUUUGUAAAAGUCAGCUCAGUCAUCAUCGGCUUAGAGAAGGUAGCCUAAAAUUGGACACCCUCUAUCUGGAGUGGGGGAAUGUCAAGCUCAGGUCCUCCCCACUGAUAGCCACUCUGACUGUCUACUCCACUUUCCAUCUCUCGAAUCUUCAUCUCUUCCUCAACUCCAGGAUGUGUCUGUCCCUGUCCUCGGGCCAGUGUUGGUGCUCUCUCUAUUUUUCUCACCUAAAAACCAUUUGGGGCCUUCUCAAAUUUUAUCAUCCCCAUGGACUAAUUAUUAUAAUUAUCAUGUGUUGGAGGCCUCAAAAUUUGUCUCUUUACUCAGGUCAACGUCGACAUCCUUGAAUACUCUAGCAAGAAAGUGACCAUAGAGGAGUACACGAGUCGUGUUCUCGCAACAUGCAAUCAUGUGCAUCAUCAUCAAAUAUCCCAAAUGGAUCUGUCUCCUAGUCAAAAUAGAGUCUAUAAGGAAUGCCUCAUAAUAAGAGGCUUUAUCUCGAUGUCCACCAUGUGGUAAAAAAAUAGAGCACAACAUAUGGUGUAGUACUCUGUUGAUGACCGUCAAGUUGUGUGUUGAGGGUUUGCCCAUCCCAUGGGUGUUUGGAAGUCCACAAAUCCUCUUAAUACCCUCUCUAGGCUCAAAUCCCGACACAAUGGGCCACAUAUUUGAAUUGUAUACUCUAAGUCCAACCGAAGCAAUAUCAAAGAUACGACAUGUGCUCUCUGGGUCCAAACGAAUCUCAACUCCUCUAACAGUAGAUGCGAUCGGGCUACCCAUGCCAUAAGUCGCUCUCGAGUAGAAUGCUCGAACCAAUGCUUAGAAACAAUAACCGCAUACAACCAGCCCAUCCUAGUGAAUAAACCCUUGAAUCUGAAGUACUGAAAUUGGGGAAAAUUAAUAUUUCUCUCGAGAACUACUCAUCUCUGAGCAAAAUGUUACUUGUACCGUUGGUUGUCCUCCACGAAACUGAAUAAGGCAGUGUCAAACCACACCUUUUAGCGUGUCUCUAGCUGAGAUGACUCAGCUAGGCGCUAGCCUUGUGCCCUAGAGGUCGUGGGCUCUCGCUAGGGGCCAUGGAAGAUGGAAAAUGAGCAAGAUGAAGAAAGAGAACUAGUAGAGGCUCACACCUAGAACCCAAACGAACGGAAAUGGAGAGAGAUCUGUGCUGGAGCUGACUAUGAUGCACCUAAGGAAAAGAAGACCACUCCAAAUGGAAACCUUAACCUUUAAAGUCUUUAAAACUCUCUCAAAAUCAGGUUAACCAGUAAAAAAUGCACUGAAAUUAGUCUCUAAAAGCCAAAACCAGAAAAACCCUAAAGAAUCAGAGGAGAAUGGAGCAGAAAAAAAAGUGCAGGAGCCUCUUAAUAUUCUUAACCUCGACGAACCGGUCGACCGAUCCUCAUCCAAUCGACCAUUUGGUCAAUGUGGUCAACGAUUUUGACUUUCCAAUUUUUGUGCACUUUUUCAUUUUGCGAUCCUCCCCUUGCCAUUUUCAAUUUAAAUCCCCAAUUUUUUUAUGCCCAAUACUAAAAGAAUUUUUAUUUUUGGUCAAAAUUUGACCAUUAUCUAAGUAUAUGUCUAUAUGAUGCAUGUGACAUGAAAUUUAAGCAAUCAAAAGGUAUAUUCAUCAAGAAUUCAUUAAGAAAACAUUUGAUGAUGAUGAAAUUACCCCUAGUUGUCUUCUAAUAUCAACAAAUUGUUCUUCACUUAGAGGUUUUGUAAAGAGAUUGGCAAGUUAAUCUUUAGUGCUUAGAAAUUCAAGUGUUAUGUCAUCUUUUUGUGCAUGAUCUCUAAGAAAGUGAUGUCCAAUCUCCUAUGCUUAGUCCUAGAGUGUUGCAUAAGAUUUUUUGAUAUACUUAUGGCACUGGUAUUAUCACAUUUAAUGGGAACAUGCUCAAAAGAUAAAUCAAAAUCACUAAGUGUUUGUUUCAUCGAAAGGAUUUGUACACAACAUAAACCGGCUGCUAUGUAUUUGGCUUCCGCAGUUGACAAAGUUACCGAAUUUUGCUUCUUACUAUGCCAUGAAACAAGUGAGUGUCCUAAGAAAUGACAAGUGCCACUAGUGCUUUUUCUUUCAACCUUACAACCAAUAAAAUCAGCAUCCGAAAAGCCAAUUAAUUCAAAGUUAUCACUCUUAAGAUACCAUAAGCCUAUGUCCAUUGUCCCUUUCAAAUAUUUGAGGAUUCUUUUUACGACACUUAAGUGAGAUUCUUUAGGACAAGAUUGAAAUCUAGCACACAAACAUACACUAUACAUAAUGUCGGGUCUACUAAUGAUCAAGUAUAGCAAAGAACCUACCAUGCCUCUAUAUAUAGUAGAGUCAAUGGAUUUACCUUUCUCAUCCUUAUUAAGCUUGAUGGAUGAGCUCAUUGGAGUCUUCAUUGUUUUGGUUUCCUCCAUGUUGAACCUUUUGAGAAGAUCUCUUAUAUACUUUGCUUGAUUGAUGAAGGUUCCUUAUUUUAGUUGUUUGAUUUGAAGUCCAAGAAAAAAUUUGAGUUCUCCCAUCAUGCUUAUUUCAAACUCACUAUGCAUGCACUUAGCAAAUUCUUCACAAAGAGAGACAUUAGUAGUACCAAAAAAUGAUAUCAUCAACAUAUAUUUGAACUAAGAGCAUUUCAUUUUCUUUGGUUUUUAUGAAAAGAGUUGUGUCAAUUUUUCCCAUUUUAAAACCAUUUUCCAAAAGAAAUUUGCUCAAUUUUUCAUACCAUGCUCUAGGUGCUUGUUUCAAACCAUAAAGUGUCUUUUUAAGUUUAAAAAUAUGGUUAGGAAAGUUGAAACUUUAAAAGUCGGGUGGUUGGUCAACAUACGCUUCUUCAUUUAUAAAACCAUUUUAAAAAACAUUUUUCACAUCCAUUUGAUAUAAAACAAAGUCUUUAAAACAUGCAAAGGCAAGUAGCAUCCUAAUAGCUUCCAACCUAGCUACGAAGGCAAAGGUUUAUUCAUAAUCUAUCCCUUCUUGAUUAAAACCUUGGGCUACCAAACCUUGCUUUGUUUAUAACAAUUAUGCUAUUUUCAUCCAUUUUAUUUCUAAAGACCCAUCUAGUUCCAAUAAUACUUGGAUUUGAAUGUCUUGGUACUAAUUCCCAUACUUCAAAUUUUCAAAUUGAUUUAACUUUUUUUUAUAGAAAUCAUCCAAUUUUCAUCAUCUAAAGCAUCAUUUAUAUUUUUAGGCUCAAUUUGAGAGAUAAAAUCUUAUUUAUUGAAAAUGUUUCUAAGAGAGGAUCUAGUUCUUACCCCACUAGAUGGAUUACUUAUGAUUUGAUCUUGUGGGUGAUUGAUGACAAAUUUCCAUUCUUUAGGAAGGUCUUGGCUUGAUUCACCUUGCACUUGUUGAGGAGGGGGUAGUGCCAAUGGUGAUCCUUUUUUCUUGGGAUUCUCUCCAUUUUCUUCUUGUUGUAUUUUACCUUCAAUUUGCAAUCUUCCCAUGAAGGUCUCUAAACCUAAAUCAUCAUCAACACUCUUUCUUUCUUUGAUAGAAUUGCUAGAUUAAUAAAAAAUAACAUGGAUGGACUCAUCUACAACCAUAGUUUUUUUGUUGAAAACUCUAAAGGCUUUACUUGAAAAUGAGUAACCAAGAAAAAUUCCAACACCCGAUUUUGCAUCAAAUUUUCCAAGAUUGUCUUUAGUGUUUAAUAUAAAACAUUUGCAUCCAAAGACUUUGAAAUAACUAAUGUUGGUUUUCUUGUUUUUCCAAAGCUCAUAAGGAGUUUUCUUAAGUAUGGGUCUUAAUAAAACUCUAUUUAAAACAUAACAAGAAGUGUUAACUGCUUCGGCCCAAAAAUAUUUUGGUAGGUUGUUUUCAUUUAACAUGGUUCUUACCAUCUCUUAAAGGGUUCUGUUUUUCCUUUCAACUACCCCAUGUUGUUGAGGAGUUCCAAGAGCCGAAAAUUUGUAGUCAAUUCCAUGCUCAUUGCAAUAAUCUUCAAAAUUGAUAUUUUCAAAUUCUUUCCUAUGAUCACUUCUUAUACAAGUAAUUUCAAAGCCUUUUUCAUUGUGAACCUUAUUGCAAAACUUUGAAAACUCAUAAAAGGAUUCAUUCUUUUGAAUUAAAAACAAGACCUAUGUGUAUCUAGAGAAGUCAUCCACAAUAACAUACGUAUAAGAUUUUCCUCCAAGAUUUGGUGUCUUAGAAGGACCAAAUAAAUCCAUAUGCAAUAACUCAAGUAGUCUAGAUGUGGAAAUUAAGUUUUUGUUUUUAAAAGAGUUUUUUAUUUGCUUUUACACUUGAUAAACUUCACAAAUUUUAUCUUUUUGAAAAUUUAUUUUGGGAAGGCCUCUAACAAGUUCAUCUUUGUUAAGUUGGGAAAUAAGGUCCAUGUUAGCAUGUCCCAACCUCCUAUGCCACAACCAAAUUUGAUCAUGCAUGCUUGAAAAGCAUCUAUCAUGACCAUCAUAUUUUGAAAUAUUUAUAGCAUAAACAUUAUCACAUCUAUGGCAUGUGAAGAUGGUUUUAUUAUUUUGAAUAUCCUUGAUAAUACAAUGAGAUGCUUCAAAAAUCACUUAAAAACCUUUCUCACAAAGUUGACUAAUGCUUAAAAUGUUAUGUUUUAAACCAUCUACUAAUAAAACACUUUCAAUGAGAGAGGAUGUGUCAUUACCAAUGUUGCCUUGACCAAUGAUCUUUCCCUUUGUGUUGUCUCCAAAUGUAACAUAUCCUCCAUUUUUCUUUGUGAGAAAAGCAAACUUGGAUUCAUCUUUGGUCAUGUGUCUUGAGCAUCCACUAUCCAAGAACCACUUAUCCUUCUUUGAACCCUACAACAUAAAACUCAAGUUGAUUUAGGUACCUAUAUCUUUUUGGGUCCUUGAGGGUUGGUGACCUUGGAUUUUUCAAUCCAAAUCUUUUUAGUUUUGACAUUUGAAUUCUUUUGAGAACCAUUUCUUAAAGGACAUUUAUUACUAAUGUGUCAUUCUCUUCCACAAAAAUUGCAAGUAGUGGAAGGACUUACACUCGUGGAUUCCUUUACAAAAUAGUUUUUAAAAUACUUUUGAUUUUUUGAAGAUUUGAAUCAUAACCCUUGUUUGUCAAAAACACAUUUUUGGCUAGCUAGAAUCAUUUCAAAAGAUUUUUGUCCACAAGAAAAGAUUGAGAGAGAGGAUGUCAAUCAUUCAUUUUUCUUUCUUAAAAUCUCAUUCUCUUUUUCAAGAUGAGUUUUAGAAACAUCAACAUUUGAAAAUUUUUCUUUUACUUCUCCAAGUUCUUUUUCAAGUUGAGAGAGAGAUUUUUCAAACUAAGUUUUUCAAAAUCCUCAUACAAUUCUUCAAAAGCAUCUUGUAUAUCUUCAUCACUAAGGUUAGAGUUUACCUCAUCAAAUUCAUCUAUUGUCAUGAAGCACAUGUUUGCCACUUCUUUAUCAUUUUCUUCUUCGGAGGAUUCAUCUUCACUUUCACUCCAAGUGGCCAUCAUUGCCUUCUUCUUUCUUUUCUUGGCUUCACUUUUAUAAAAAGGACAAUUAUAUUCAAUGUGUCAUAGUUUUUUUCACUUGAAGCAUACCAAGUCUUUUUUUCUCUUCCCAUCUCUCCUUGUCACCAUGAGAUGAAGAUUCUUUUUUAGAAAAGUCUCCUCUAGAAUUGAACCUUCUUCCUCUAAACCUUUCACUCCUCAUGAAUUUGUUGAACUUUCUUUUGAUGAGGGCUAAGUCUUCAUCUUAUUCACUUUGUUUUUUUCUUCACUUUAAGAUCUAUGCUCUUCUUCCUUUUGUCUUCCCCUUCUUGUUGCUUCUUUGCCAAGUUGAUCUCAUAUGUCAUCAAUGACCAUAUGAGCUCAUCCAAAGGUAGCUUGGUCAAGUCUUUGACUUCUUGAAUUGUGGUGGCCUUUGUAUGCCACUUUGAUGGAAAUGACCUCAAGAUCUUCAUCACCUUUUCCAAUUCCUUGUAGGUCUUUCCCAAGGCUUUAAGACCAUUGACAAUGUCGGUGAACCUAGCGAUUAUCUCAACAAUAGUUUCAUUAUCUUUCAUAAAAAACAAUUCAUAACUAUGAACAACUAAAUUGAUUUUUGACUCUUUGACUUGAUUUGUUCCUUCAUGAGUUGUUUCAAGUAAUCUCCCAAAUUUCUUUAGCCAAUUUGCAUUGACAUAUUUUAUUAUAUUCAUUUCUAUCCAUAGAGCAUUGCAAAGUGUAAAUGACCUUAGCAUUUAAUUGAAAAUUUCUUCUAUCACACCUAUCCCAUUCUUGCUUGGGUUUUGGAACCAUGACUUCAUCAACUAGUUUUGAAGGAAAAGUUAGGUCAUCUUCAAUAACGUCUCAUACGUCUAAAUCUAUUGAUUGUAAAAACCAAGUCAUUUUAGUUUUCCAAUAGGGAUAUUCAAUUCUCUCAAAAAAUGGAGUUCUAUUGGUUGCAAAACUUUCAAUGUGAGAUGAGCUUGAUGGAUUAGCCAUUUCCUCUUAGACAUUUAAGUCUUAAAUAAAAGGCCUACCUCUGAUACCAAUUGAUAAAAUAAAGGGCAAAUCUAAAUAGAUAAAAACACCCAUGAGGGAGGGCGAAUUGGAGUUAAAAAAAAAUUCUUUUAAAACAUAAUAAAAUUUAGCACAAGAAGCAUAAAUAUAAAGAGAUAAGGUUAUAGAAAUCAAAUUCAGAUUUAUAGUGGUUUGAUAUUUCCUUGCCUACAUCCACUCUCCUCAAGUUCCUAAUCAAUUGAGGGUUCUACUUAUACUUGAAACUUCAACUAAGCUUCUAAUAACUUUUUACACUUGGAUUCCGGAUCCAAUAGGCUCUUACAUAAUCUCUUUAAGUCUUUACUCACUUGAAGGCUUUAACACUCAAUUAACAAAAAAUGAAUCUCUCAACCUAAUUCAACAAUGAAUCAAAUACAACUCAAGGCUAGAAUGAAUCACAAGGGUGCACUAAAGAAUAUGUAAAUGAAGAUUUAAUGCACCAAGAAAAGAAUGAGAGUUUUUAUGGCAAUAACAAGUAGGUAAACAAAUAAAUGUAGGUGUUCUUUUCUACAUAAAUGAAGUAGAGCUCUUAAUUUAUAGGUUUCUAAUCUUGGGAGCCAAAAAAACCAAAAAGCAGUCUUGAUUGGUUGAGUUGGGGAUCGACCGGUUCACUAGCCGUUGAAUCAUUUAAUGCUUGACAGGUGAUCAUUACCCUCAACCGAACCUCGACCAGACCCUGACCGGACCUCAACCUGGAAGACAAAUCCCUCGAUCAGGAAAGAAAGGCUAUUGGAAGAGCGAAAGUGUGUUUUUUUGCAUCUCUCGACUGGACCUCGAUUGGGAAAGAGUAACCGAUCGAUCAGUACCCUAGCCGAUUAAGCCGAUUGGCUAGUGCCUCGACUGAUUUAAAAUGUUAGUAAUACUUUUAUCACCCAAAUAAGAAUGAGGCAAAAGUAAUAGGAUGAUAAAGUGAUCCUCUCAUUGUAUAGUCGAGGUAAAGGGCAUUGACUCUCUAGUAGCAACAACACUUUCAAACCGAUCCUUACAAGAGAACUCACCCCCUCCUCAAAAUCUUCACUAUCAUCCUCUAUAAUGGUUAUAGUCUUCUCCUUGAAACAUUUGAAGAACACCAUCCUACACAAAAAAAAAGUAGAGAGAGAUAGAGAUGAAUAAAAUAUGGGUGUAAGUUUUUAGGCACAACUAUGCAUUCAAGUCAAGCCAAUUUGCAUGUGUGAAGACUUUAACAUAUAAGUGCCAAAAAUAUUACACCACUUCACAUCAGGGUCAUAAAUUGUUUGCACAGAUGCCAAAUAUGAUUCUAAUUAUAAUUAAAUGUUAAAACUUGAACACCACUAUGCAGUCAAGCUAAUUUGCAUGAGUGAAGGCUUUAACACAUAAGUGCCAAAAAUAUGACAUUGUUUCGCAUUAAGGCUACAACUUGAUUACAUAAGGGUCAAAUUUUAAAUAUUUAUAUUUUUUUUAUGGAUAUUUAAGUUUAUUAAAACUUUCCCCUCAAGUAUUAAGGCAAUUAAAAAAUAAAUAAAUUACCUGAAAUCAAAAUUCGUCUCCACGAAUGAUGAAAGUCAACAUGUGUUCGAGAAAUAUGAGUAUUUUCCUUCCUUAAAAAAAAAAAACGCUUACUUGUUUGAAAAAGGUAAAGACUUCUCGUGGAGAACUCAAACUGAGUUUCUUAAAAUUGGGUUUAAGAUCACUCAAAAUUUUGAAAGAAUUUUCUAAAGAAUUUAAGUCCAGCAAAUUGGAUUGAAGAACAUCCAAAGAUCAAAAGAGUUCUCUAAAAAAGUUCAAGUUGGGUUUCUCAACUAUUGUCCCCUUUAUAUAUAUAUAUAAAGUAUAUACAGGGAAGGCAAAUUGGAAGAGGAUUCAAAGUGUAAAGCAAGCAUAAAGCAAGAAGGAAAACGAAUUGGAAAAUGAUUCAAAGUGUAAAGUAAGAAGGAAAACGAAGUGAAAAUUGGAAAAAAGUGGGAAAUAAAUAUUUUAAAAAUAGGAAACUUCCUAUUAAAAUAUUUCUUUGGAAAAAAAAAAUGUUAACUUCAAGACCCACCCCAUCCACAUGACAAUACAUGUACAUGAUGCAUCUUGAAGUGGGGGCAUUUGUAGACAUAAAAAUUUUAAUAGAUUAAAUUACCACUAAUUUGGUAUUCAAAAUGGAUAAAUAAAUAAAUAAAAACAAAUAUCCUCUUAUGGAUAAGUUUCCAAAAAAAUAAAAGAGAACUAAUCUCCAACUAUAAAAAGGAUAAUAAUAAUAAUAAUAAUAAUAAUAAUAAUAAUAAUAAUAAUAAUAAUAAUAAUAAUAAUAAUAAUAAUAAGCUUAUUAUUAUUAUUAUUAUCUUGUUGGUAAAAUCUCUGGAAAAAGAAAAGUUGCUAAAAUUAAGGAACUAAGUCCCUUGAAUUAAGCAAUUAAAAUUCGAGAAUUCAAAAUUCAAAUUCCCUACUUUCACCUAUAAAUAUAGGUGACUUCUUUCAAGAAAAAAGCGAUAAAAAAUUAAGGGGAGAAAUUUAGAAAUUAGAAAAAUCCAGAAAGGAAAAUCUUAAGGAGAAAAUUCAAAGACAACUUCGUACGGGAAAAUGGGUUUUACAACAAAAGAAAAAGCUUCCUCAAAUCUCUUUGCAAGUUCAAUAAACGGUAGAACUACUACACGUGUUCUUUACCAUUUAACAAGUUCAUUCGGGAAUAAGCCACUUAUGACCCUCGAUUAAUCUUCGAAAUCAAGAAAAUGUUACCGUCGUCUUCCAAAUUGUGAUCAAGGCAAAAGAAUCAAAGGCAAAAUAUUCUUUUAUAAAGAAUAUUAUUUUUGAGAUUGUAUCCCACAAUAUUUUUAAUUUUAAUAAAUAUUUUGUUCGCAUUAUUUUUUGUUAUUGUCUUGCUUACAUCGUAGGAUUUUUACAAAAUUUGUGCAUAUACCUACAUUUGUUCUUUACUUAUUUGGAUAGUGCAUAUGCAACGUUUUUGGAAUCCAAUUAUUUGCCAACCCAUUAAAACAAAGAAUUGUGAUGUGGUAUUUUUUUAUUUUUUUUUCAUUUUGUGGUUUUCAAUUUAUAACAUUUUGAUGAAAUGACUCUCAUUAUGAAAUAGUGAGGGGUGCAUUCUCAAAGGAAACCAUUAGCUAAAUUCAAAUUUUAAACAUAUUUUUUCAAGAAUUCUCUCAAAAAAGGAAAAAACAAAUUCCAAGCUAAUAAAUAACCUGAGACCAUGUUUAAUAUAUGGGAAUGAGAAAUGGAAAUGAAAAUUUUCUUUUUAUUCAUGUUUUUCCUUGAAUAGGAAUGAAUUUGGUCAUUUCAAAUAUAGGAAUGUAAGGUAGGAAUGAUUAUUUGUUUCUAUUUCUCAAUGUUAAAUAACAAUAUUAAUGAAAAUGAAAAAAAAAUAACAAUAAUAUCCAUACAUAUAGUUUAAAUUAAUAUUUUAUUUUCAUUUUUAAAAAUACUUCCACACUAUAUAUAGUUUAACAUAAUUUUUUAUUUUCAAUUAAAAAAGAAUUCUUUAAGAGUUUAUUUUUUGUUUUGCUAAAUAAUAAAAAUAUAUUUAGGUUUAUGAUUUUUUUUUAAAAAAAAUUGUUUUUAAAAUUAAUACCAGUGUUUGGUUGUUGUUCUUGAGAAAUAAUUUUUAAAAAUAAAGUAAUAAGUUUAAUGAUUUUUAAAAAUAGUAUUAACAAUUAUUAAUUUUUAACAAAAUAAAUCAAUUAUAUUUUUAUAAGAUGCUAAUAUCCAUAUUUUUUAUUAUUUAGAAAAAUAUAUAAUGUAUGAUUAAAAUUAAUAUUCAUAUUUUAUUAAAAAUUAAUUUAAAUUUAUUUGUAAUUACAAACUUAUUUUUAUUUUAAAUAAGACUUGAAUUAAUUUAUUUUAUAUUAUGUAAAUUUAAUUUACAUUUUUUUUACAAAAUCAAAAUAAAUAAAUAAAAAUUAAAAACAACUUAUUCAAAAAAAUUUUAGUUUUUAAGUUUUGAAAAAUGUUUUAAAAUAAUUUACACUAGGGAAUCAAAAUACCCAUUCUUAAAGAUGAAUUAAAAUCUCACUUAUAAUUGGGAUUUCAUUUCUUUUGAAUCAUUAUUAUUUCAUUCUCAUUAUCACUUAAUUAAUCCAAACUUGGGAAUAAAUGAUUAAGGGAACGAGAUAUUUAGGCCUUAUUUGGUAAUUGUUUUUAAAACAGUUCUGAAAAAAUAGUUUUUAAACAUAGUUUUUUAAAAUUAUUCUAUAAUGUUUUGUAGAACAAAAGUCUGUUUGAGAACUUAAAAUUGUUUUUAACCCAUUUUUAAUAUUUUUAAAUACAUUUUAAAAAUAAUUUUGAUGUCCAUAGGUUUAUUUUUAAUCAUUAUAUAUGGUUGUAUAAUUAUUUUUUAAAACAGCUCUAAAAGAACAAUUGAAAACAAUUAAAAUAAGUUAUCUAAAAAUACUCUAUUUUCUGUUUUCUGAUAAUAAAAAGCAGAAAAUAGUUUCUAAUCGUCAAAUGUGUUUUUUUAGUUUUUUUGUUUUAAAAAACAUAAAAUUAUUCUUGAAAACAAUUGCCAAACAAAGCCUUAUUCCUACUUGCCAUUCCCCUUACUAAACAUGCAUCAAAGUUUUAUAUUUCAUAUUGCUAUAUAAACCAAUGACAUCCCAAAGCAAACAAGCAAAUAGAAAGCAUGGAAAAUGAAGUGGUGUUACAUUUCAUCAACCUAACAUCAUUUCGCUAAUAUCAGGUUGAGUUAAGGUUGGUUAGGUUAGACUCAAGUCGGUUGGGUUAAUCGAGUUGCAUAAUUCAAAUUCCAUCUGUAAUUUUUUUUAACACUUUUUUCGAUAUAUUUAUUUAAAAAUUUAAAUAGUAAAUAAAACAAAAUUUUAAGAUAAUUUAAAAAAAUUAAAAAAUAAUUUAUAUAUCUUUCUAAAAUAAUGAAACUAUAUGAUAUAACAUAAUUUAAUAUUGUUCUUAAAAAUUUAAAAGAAAAUGAAUAUUAUCGUAUAUGAUAAUGUACAUUAUAAAUAUUAUAGAAAUAUUAAAUCGGGUUUGGGUUAGGCUCAAGUUGUCCAAACCCAAAACAAAUUGAGUUAAGAUUGAAAAAACCUAAUUCAAGUGUUGAAAAUGAUUGCCCAAGCUCACUCAUACAUCAAGUUGGGUUGGGUCAACCUGCUUAAGUUCCACCCCUAAUUCUCAUAAUUGUAAUAUGAUAAAAAAAAAAAAAAUGAAGAAAACAUAGACAAAGUUUAGACUUUAUACCUUGAUUGAUCUUUGAAUUCAUGGAAGAGUUUGAUCAAGGUAUAACCCAAGGUCCAAUUUUCUCAACACUAAACAAGCCUUUCACCAAUUUCUCUUAGGCAAAAUUACACAAGAAUAUUGAUUUCCCUUUUUGUCACAGCUUGAUUUUCAUGCACAAUGAUGAAGGUGGAAAAUAACUGUAAAGACUUUGGAGAAGGAAAAACCUAUGAUAGUCAUAAUUAGAAAACUAAAGAGAAAAAAAAAAAGAAAAAAAGAAAACCCUGAUUCAUGUAAUGAAGAAUGUGUUGAUUAGGUCUCCUUAAUAAUAGAAAAUUCCUAUGCAAAAUUUAUAUGCACAAAAUUACUCUAAUGUUUUCCUAAAUAAAGCAGGAUUUUUAAAAGCAAAUCUAAUUGAAUCAUAUAACUUUUAAAAACAAACAAGAUUUUUAGAAGAAACAUAAUUUCGACCUCUUCUUGAUUACACUUGCUCACUAAGUUUUUUAUCUCUAUUUUCAUAUACUUGUAAUAAAUUAAUAUAAAUUAAUUUGUGCAUGUAUAAUAGGUAAAACAUGGUGGACAAUAUUUUUUAUAGAAUUUUUGUAUAAGUUUCAUUUCAACCCAAACAAGCACUAGUUUUUGAUAAGAUAGCAUUAAAAACUCAAAGAGGCCAAUUGUUGGAUUGUGAUUGGUAUGUCCUAGACAGAAAAAAAAAUCAAGUAUAAAAAGGCUCUAAUGCAUGAUUAUGCAUAACCAAACUAUACAAUUGGUAUGUUUAAUGCACUUGCACAUGCCUUUAUUGUUAGGAUUGAGCCCUUAAAAGCAAGAUAUGAUGUAAUAAAACUAGAUUUAACUAUUCCCUUAUUAUCCUUUUGGUGUACUGAUAUUAAUUUGAGCAUUCAACCUAUGUCUCUUACAUUAUAUAUGAUGUUAGCCCAAGGGUUCUCCUAAUCAUAUUUUCAUGAUAACAAACCAUGGUUAAGUUACUAAUUAGUUUGAAUUAUAAAGAAUUUCAAGUGUUAAUUUAGAAAUUCGUCAAAGAACCUAAUAGAUGCAAGAUCAAGACUUUUGAAAGAACUUUUAAUCAUAAGAAACAUUGUAAGAUGAAUGCAUGGGUACACUUAGGAUUUACAUAUCAUUUCAUGUGUCUUUGAAAAACUCGGUUUAUGCUUUAAAGUUACAUUUCCAUCAAAAUCUGAGUUCUAUCAAAUGAACCUUAGGCAAAACAUUUCAAAAUUGACAUAUUAUUUUACCUAAAGACCUUGCCUAAGUUCUAGAAGCAAAAAGACUAGAAAAAGAUAGUGAUGUUUUGAUUGAAUCUCAAGGUUGAGAGACCAUAAUGGGAAAUACAAUAUAUGAUGAAUUGACACUUUUAGUAGUUGCAAGUUUAAUUGUUGAACAACAAUCUUCAUGCCCUACUGUUGUGGCUUUUUCUACUCUUACUCACACAUUUGACAUGAAACAAAUCAUCCUUAAUGCCCAACGCUAAGUAGCACUUAUGAUAGGAGAAUGCAUUAAGGAAAUGAUUAUCAAAUCUUCCAAUGAGUCUCUCAUUAUUGACAUAAAAAUUGAUGAGUAUUUCAAUGCUAUCAUGAAAACUAGAGUGGACCCUUCACCAUUAAAGUCUCAAAUUGAGAAGUAGUAAGUGUAGAUCACCUCGAUACAGUGCGACAUGCCCAUUCUAUCUAAUAUCUCCAAAAGUACAAAGCGAACGUUUAACUAUUGUUGCAUCUCAAAUUGUGGAUGCUCUAAAUUCUGAAGGUGUAGAGGCAAAUCGUGGUCAAUCUUUAAAGGUUGACUUAGUUACUCUCGACACUAAACAUGAAGCACUUAAAAAGGAAUUGAAGCAACUAGGUAUAGAAAAAGAGCACUUUCAUAACUCAAUCAUGGAGAUCGAUGAUAAUCUAGCUAAUAAACAAAAUAAUAUUUCUCGUUUGAGGAAAUAACAUGUCACUAUCACCCAAACCUUGUGCUUACUAAUGUCGAUGUCAAGACUUUAGAGACACUUCAAGAAGCCUAAAUGACUCAAUUUGACAAGCUUGCGUACUUGGUGUGAAUAUGACUGUUGUGCCUUUUUGCUUAGUUUUAGCUUUCUUUUUUUUCCUUCAUUUUUUUUAUUGAGAUAUAAUAAGGUCUAGCAUUUGUUAGCCAGAUUUAUUAAUAAAAAUGAGACCAUUUUUUUUAGUUAUGUUUAAACUCAGGUUGUUUUCCUAAGUUACCUACGUAUCCUUCAAAGAGAGAUGAUAAAGUCAAACAUAGUUCAAUUUUUUAUUUUAUUUUUAUGCUCUAACUUUUACCAAGACUAAAAGAAAGAUUUAAUCUUAUGCAUUAACUUUUGCCAAGACUAAAAGAAAGAUUUAAUCCUUCGAACAUAUGUCCUAACUUUUGUCUAAGUUGUAUAUUCAGGUUUUCAACUUAACGGACUUUUUUUUUUGGUGUGUUAUAUGUAGUUUAAGCUCAUGAGGGCUAGGAGUGUCACUUUUCUUGAGUUUGGUCAAAGGGUGAUAAAUUCAUGUCCUUGGAACAAAUUUUAAUCGAGAGUCAAAGAUGACUUAUUCUUAACCAAAACUUGUGAAGACCUUCAAUCAAACUUGUGAAGACUUUUCUCAAUCAUUUUGGAGAACAAAAGAAGUCAUUUGAAUUCAUCUUGAUUUUCUUUAGCCUUUAAAGUGGAUGAAUGACAUUUUUGCAUUGUGUUUGAUAUUCUUCCACGAGCUUGUUGAAGAAUGUGCCAAGCUUGGACUUGAUUUUAAUCCAAGGGUGGUAAACACAUGUUUUGGAGCAAAAUUUAAUUGAGGGUCAAUGAUGACUUGAUCUCAAGUAAACUUAUCAAUAAUUUAUUCAAGUGUCUUGAAAAACCCAACCUUGUUUUUUUUAGCUUUCAAGGUGGAUGAAUGACACUCUUGUUUGUGUUUGAUAUUCUUCCAUGAAUUUGUUGAAGAAUGUUUGGAGUUUGAUCUUGACUUUUUGAAGCUUCAUUUUUGGAUUUAGCUUCGGGUUGCAUUUCCUUUUUUAGAAUGCCUCAUGUUGAAAGAAAAAAACACUUGUAUUUAGAGAAGUUGGAGAUUUUAGUUUAGAAUCUCUAAAUUUGACUUCUUUAAUACAAAGAGUUUGUUCCUCAGUUUAAGAAGUUUUCCAAGAAAGAUUUUUUUUUUGGGCAUAAGUUUGACUUUAUUUAUUUAUUUUGUUACUGCAAUUUAAGUUCUUAUAGGAUAGGAGCAAUAUGUAGUUUAUGCUCAUGCUUUAAGGAACAUCAUUGGAAUGUCGAGGUUUCAAAACAAUUGUGGUAAAAUUUGAUGUCAUGUUCUUUUCAUUGUCACUGAUGAAGGUGAUGGUUGCACAACAUGUUGUACAAUUAUGGCAUUUGUCCGCAAAUUGUUUUACCCUCUUUAUUUUUGUGGCAUAGAGUGAUAGAUUCUUAAGUGUCUGGAUCAAUGCAAUUUGUGUUUCCUCAAGAAGUUUUAUCAUUUCAAGGAUACUAAAGAGCGAGGGUAAGCACUAUAGGUUUGUUAUUACCUCCCUCAUCUUCUUCCUUGGUUUUGCUCAACUCUGCACCAAGAACAUCUUUUUCAUCUUCACUUGGCCCAUCUUCUUUCGAAGUAUCAUGACAAGAGACUAUAUGAGUUGAUGUCAUCAUCCCUCUAUCAAAGAACUCUAGAGAAAAGUAUUCUUCUAAGGUGAUAGGAGUGAUGAGUUUUUGUACCAAGAGGUCAUCAACCUGUACAAUCUCUUGUUUUCUUUUGGGUUUCUUUUCUUCUUUCUUUUUCAGAUAUAGACGAAUAUUUUGCUUAUGUUGUUCAUUCCUAGGAAGAUUUAGGCAUGAAUGAGAUUCUUGCUUCUUGUGUGGUCUUCUUCAUGUCACCAAUGUCCAACAUUCUUUGUUAUAUGACAUUGAUUCAUUAUCAAAGCAGAAGUGAAUAAUGGUGUCUUCGUGUGACAUUUGUGUUUGCUUUGACUUAGGUAAUUCACAUUGGAUAGUACUGGUGCAUGCCCCCAGUGUCUUAGGUGGAACGUGUAAUGGAAUAAGAUCAAAAGACCCAAAUAUGAUUGUAGCAUGAUUUAACACUACUACUUCAUCUAGAUCUAGAUGAAUUCUUCCUUGCUUUACAAAUUACAUUAUAAGAUCUUUUAAGAUGAAACAUUUCUCCAUAGGGUGAUUGAUGAUUCGAUGGUAAUAACAAUAGUUCGGAUUAUUAACACGACCCAUUUCUUUUGGAUGCUUACACUCAAGUAGCUCAAUAACCUUUUCUGGAGUAGAUCUUCCAACAUGUUAGGCACAUCAGAGUUAAGAAAAUGAUACUUCUUCUCCUCCAAUUCCUUCAAGGUGAACCGACGCCUAUCAUUUUCUUGGGUUACUCUGACCUCUUUUACUUCCUUCUUUUUAUCUCUUGCUGAGAUUUUGAUAGGAGACAUAUUUACCAUCAUUGACUUCUGGAUGAGUUUUAUUAAGGUUUUAUCACUUGUUUUCCCAUCGUGUCUCUCUUUUUGUUGGUCAACGAUAAGGUCCUUCUUAGUACCAUGGUUGGCUAUGCUGAGCUCCAUGUCAUAUGCUUGAGUAGCUAACUCUUCAAAGGUGCAAGGUCGUAUCCUUUGAAGGAUGUACAAAAGACCCUAAUGCAUUCUUUGUAUGCAUAUCUCCACAGUUGACACCUUAGAUAAUCUAUCUUUGCAGUCCAGACUUAAGGAAUGUCAUCAAUUGAUGUAGUCUACGACUGACUCAUCUUUCCAUUACUUAGUAUUAGUAAGUUCCAUCAUGCUUACAAUUCUCUAGGUGCUAUAUAAACGGUUGAGGAAUUCAUGUCCCAUUUGGUCCCAACUAUCGAUACACUCGGGUGCAAGGUUUAUGUACCAAACGAAAGCAUUCAUUCGAAGAGAACGAACGAAUUGUUUGAUUAACAAGCCACCAUUUGUACCUGCAUGGUUACAAGUUUCAACGAAAUGGACAACAUGUUGUUUUGGAUUUCUCUUUCCUUCAAAUGAUUGAAACUUUGGAGAUUGAUAACCCACAGGCAUACAUAGACUAUAAACCCUCUUAGUGUAAGUUUUAGAGUACAUGAGCGUACUAUGUGAGGAUCCAUUGUAUUAUGCUCUAAUGGUGUUAGUUAUCAUGUCCUGAAGUUGUUGGACAAAUAAUGACGCCAUCGAGGUAGAUUCCAUUGUUUGUCUCCCGACUCGCACUGUCCUAGAUGCAUGUGGUGCAUCAUCAAGAGGAGAUGCAACAUUCAAAAGGUGGUUGAGUCCUUAACUUGACUCACCCAUAUUUUGUAUUUAUGUCUCAACCUUGUUUAUGAGGGAGACUAUUUGCGUAUCCUUCUUCUCGAUCGUCUUGGUGAGUUUGGUGAUGGCAUGAGCCAUCUUACUGAUUGUUCCUCUACGGAUGUAGCGUCAGUCGCCAUUACCGGUAUAAUCAUCAAGAAGGGAGAAGUAAAAGAGUCGGAAUGAUUGGAGUAAUUUUCCUCAUUUGACAUUCCAGUUGGCAAUCUGGAAUGUGAACCGGUGCUGGAGUUGGUAUCGGUAAUAGAGCAAGGAGAAUUAUCCUCAAAGUCCUUUAGUGCUAAAGAGAGUUUUCCCUUGCUAUGAGGACUAUGAUUUUUUGCCCUCAGAGAAGCCAAAAUGAUGGAUGGUUGGUGCUUAUCACGUGUCCUUACCAGUUUUAACAAACAAGUAGACUCACUUGUUUGUUUUGUUGAAGGUAAAGAUGUUGAUUUCACUUUACUACGAGUCAUGGGGCUCAUAGCGGUGUUGUGUGAUGAUUACGUAAUGAAGAUCGUGUCAUUGCCCUGGUUGACAUACACAACUUGAAUUUUUUUGGAUGCCAUCGAUGUAGUAGUGAUUAAUUUUCUAAUGAAAGAGAUGGGACGUAGAGAAGUUCCGCAGAGGAUGCCAGAAAUUUGUAUGCACAAAUUUUGUAAAAAGUCUUGCGAUGUAAGCAAAAUAAUAACAAAAAUAAUGUGAACAAAAUAUUUAUUGAAAUUAAAAAUAUUGGGGUACAAUUUCAAAAAUAAUAUUCGUUACAAAAGAAUAUUUUCCCUCUGAUUCUUUCGUUUCGACCACAACUUGAAGAACGAUGACGAACUUGUUUUCUUGAAUUUGAAGAUCAAUCAAGGGACUAAAUGACUUUUUCCCAAAUGAACUUAUUGAAUGACGAAGAACAUAUGUGUAGUCCCUUUACUGUUUACCAAACUUGUAGGGAGAUUUGAUGAAACUUUUUCUUUUGUUGUGAAACCUCUUUUACCGUACAAAGUUGCUUUCGAAUUUUCUCCUUAGGAUUUUUCUGAUUUCUGAAUUUCUCUUCCCAAUUUUUUAUACCAUUUUCUUGAAAGAUGACCUCUAUUUAUAGGUGAAGGUAAGAAUUUUGAAAUUUGAAUUUAUGAAUUUUAAUUGCUUAAUUCAAAAAAUUUAGUUCUUUGAUUUUAACAACUUUUUUUUUGUCAAGAAGUUUUACCAACAAAAUAAUAAUAAUAAUAAUAAUAAUAAGAAACUUAUUAUUAUUAUUAUUAUCUUUUUAUAGUUAGAGAUUAAUUUUCUUUUUUUCAAGAAACUUAUUCAUAAGAAGAUAUAUAUUUUUAUUUAUUUAUUUAUCCAUUUAUUCAUCUAGACCAAAUGUACUAAAAUUUUUAUGUUUAGAGUAGGUUUUAGGAUUGGAUUGCCUAUAUUACUCGAAUGUUGGAGCUUCGAGUGAGUUUAGGAUAGGUAGUGCUUGCGAUUGUGGUAUUGUCCAUUCAAAACAAGUUUUUAAGAAUUAUUUUAAAAAGGAUAUUUUUAUAAUAUAUUUUAAUUAUUUUUUAUUAAGAUAUAAAAAUAUAAAAAAUAAUUAAAAAUAAAAUAUUAUGUGUAAUGUUAUUUAUUUUCAAAAAUAUUUAAAAACACAAAAAUAAAGUUAAAAACAUUCCAAAUCAUUUGCAUGUUUCCUGUAUUGGUUUUUAAAGUUAAAAACCAAAAACUUUGAUAUAAAAAGUAUAAAUUUAAAUAUAUAUUAUGCCUUUAAAAAUUUUAAAAUUUUAUAUAUCAAUUUUAAAUUAAAAAUUAAAAAUUAUUAUAUUUUUAAUUUAAACCUUUUAAAAAUAUUAUUAUAUAAAACUUAUUAUAAUUUAUAUUUAAAAAAAUAAAAAAUAAUAAGAGGAAAAUAAGGAAAAUAAUAGAAACGUAAGCGGAAUGGUUUGAUUUUAGCGUUAUUUUUAACUAAAUAAUAAUUAAAUUUCUUUGGGCAGACUACUAUUGCGGAGACGGCGUGGGCAGCGAGAAAAGACAAAAGGGAGCUGUGGGAGGGACUUGAGACGACUCGUCUUCACUGUGAUGUUUGGUGGCGAAUCGCCGAUAUUCACCUCAAACCCUCAAAACUUUUCAACGUCUGCGCUCGUCUAGAGCUUAGGGUUUCAGACGCUCGAUUCAUUUCCGAACCACCAAAACCUCCACCCAGAUAAAACAGCUGAAUGGACGGAGGUCCGGCAGGCGGGGGCGGCGUCGGCGGCGGAGCCACCGGUCCCGCGCCUUUCCUUCUCAAGACCUAUGAAAUGGUGGACGACUCAUCGACCGAUGAAAUCGUGUCCUGGAGCUCCACCAAGAGCAGUUUCGUUGUCUGGAAUCCGCCUGAAUUCGCUCGCGUUCUUCUCCCCAUGUAUUUCAAGCACAAUAACUUUUCCAGCUUCAUCAGACAGCUCAAUACAUAUGUAAGCUUUUCUGAGUCAAUUUGGUGCCAUUCAAUCCUGCUUGGUUGCUGAGAAAUGAAAAUGAAAUUGGAGCUCUUAUUCAAUUUAUGUUGGGUAGUAUUUUCUUAGUUUUGUCACACAACCAAACUGUGGUAAUGCUUUUUAUAAUAUGUCUUGGCUUCAGGUGAGAAAAUAUAUUGGUUUGGAUGAUAUAUCGGUCUCUUUUUUAUUUUAUUUAUUUUUUUUAUGUGUACGUGUGUAUUAUGAUUGAUGCUAAUCCUGAAUAAGUCAUUUAGAUGGCAACGGAGUUAUUGAAAGUGGUUGAUUACGACUUGCCUUUGAACAACUAGACAACAAGUGUUGCCAUUACAAGAUCCGCGAGUCCCACUGCAUUGGGAAUUUUAUGGAAGGGGCCAAACUUGGAUCAGCGUUUGUAUUUUUGGUUUUUUAAAGAUCCCAUAUGUGUUUAUAUGUUGUUUGAUUGCUUGAAUUUUGUCAAAUACUAGGGCAGUAUUUAACUUUUUAUAUUUUUAAUGGGUAUCAAAUCAGCACUCUUUUGCCAAUUAUAUUACUAAAUGGAUUUCUUUGAACGAAUUCUGUGCCUUUCAUCCAGUGAUCCUUUCCCAUUUCUCUAUGGGUCCCUUCAUUUUGGUUUUCAAUUAUCAAAAGUUAGUAAAGAUGAAAACGUAGAACUCUUUAAUUGCCUCCUCAUCCAAUGUAUGUAUAUAGUUCUUGAUAGAAUCAUUUAACAUCCAUUUAUAUAUCUUGUCUUUUCAUGGGAAGUUAGUGAAUGUAAGUAAAACUACCGAAAUUUUCUUUAGUUAUUCUUGAUAUGUUUCACAAAUUCAUGAAUUCAAGGUUAUUUGUAAGCUUAGCUCUUUAAUUCUAGGAGUGACUUACUCUGAUUAAUGUGAGAGUAGAAAUCUUUUUACCUUUGGGAGAAACUAUUGUGAUUUGCGACUGUCUUGGAGCAAGGGAAUUCUCCUAGCAGGGAUGAUAUUCAUUUUCAAGGAUAUAGUCUGUGCAAUGUCCUUUAGAGUUUACUUUUCUUUUGGAUCUACUGUCUAUAGUCUCUCUUCCAUUCUGUUGCAGGAACCUUUUAUAAAACUUAUUUUGUUUUAACCUUCUAAGGUUCCUAAAUUGUGAAGUAGGAUUCAUUGAAGAGAGAAAAUGGAUAACUGGAUAUCACUAGCAAGUGAGAGGUGUCUCUUUUCUACUUGAUAGUUGAAAGCAAAGCCUUAAAAAAUUCACUUUAUCAAGUGAAGGGAAUAAUUUUUGCAUUUCAAGGAUGUUAAGAGUGUUGUAGACUCCUCAUGGAAGUUAUUUCCUCCAACACAUUAAAUGGAACUAAACUUUAAGGCACAAGCUUGUUAUGCUGUGCCAUUAACAUAAAAUCAUCAGCCACAACAAAUAUUUGACUUUCAUUAAUCAUUGUGCAAAAAUCCCUUUUGGUGCUAUCUCUAGGGACGGCUGAUUAAUACAUGGUUUUGACCUGAAUUGUCUUGUUGUUUAUCAUACAGCUGGUUUUCUGCUGCAUUCUAACCUUUAACUUCAAUUUAUCAAUGGCUGCUUAUGAUCCCACGUUUAUGGUGUUCGAUUUAUCCAUGAUAAAUUUUCAGUUCUGUUACAUGACCUUUGGUAUCAAAUUGAGAACCUGAUAGUAAAUCUGUUUACAGACAAUAAUCUCCAAUAGCUCUUCCAAUUUAUACAAUUGAAGUGGGUGAGGAGUUGUGGCUAACAACUGAAUUAGGAGGUUUCAAGAUAGAUCGGUUGCGACCUCUCAAAUAGGUAUUGGGCUAUACAUACAAUAGACUAGUUAAAGGAGUUCAAUAAAUUCUUUAAAAAAAGAAGAUAAAAUUAGAUGGAACAUUUACAACAUGACAUUAUUUAAAUGACCAUGAAAGCACGCCUUUAGAUUGGUGUAUGUUACUACUAAGAAUUAACAACUCAACUAUUUCAUGUACAAUAAUUUUGUACUAAGAAAUACAUAACUAUAUGAUCAACUGCAACUCCAACCCCUGGGACUUCUACUGAGGCUGGUUGUCAAGCUGCCAUAGAGCAACAAGGAAAUAGUCCAGGAAUGGCUACUGUUAAGGAAGUUCAUGGCUUGCAUGUUUCAAAGUCAUGGAAUAGGCCACUGACUUGGGAGGUUUCAAGAUAGAUUGAUUGCGACCUCUCAAAUAGGUAUUGGGUGAUACGUACAAUAGACUAGUUAAAGAAGUUCAAUGAAUUCUUGGUGAUACAUACAACCAACUAGUUAAAGAAGUUCAAUAAAUUCUAAAAAGAAAACAAAACUUUCUAAAGAAAAAAAGAUAAAAUUAGAUGGAUCAUUUGCCACAUGACAUUUACUUAAAUGACCAUAAAAGCAGACCUUUAGAUUGGUCUAUGUUAAUUAUGAGAAUUAAAAACUUGAUUGUUUCAUGUACAAUCAUUUUUGUACUAAGAAAGACAUUAUCAUAUUGGCAAAUCCACUUUAAAUGAUGUGGAUGUUCACCAAUCAUUGAUCCCGAAAAUUUCUACAAAGUCAUUAUUGUCAAUGCUUUAAUGAGUAUGGAUAUCAAGAUGGUACUUUCCAUAGCAAGGUUGUAGUUGAAAUAAUUUUUUUGAUAGACAAAGAUAAUUUGAAUUAAGAAACACCAAAAAUAGGGGGGUAUACAUUAGGAGCCUAACCAGGUACCAGAAAAGAAAGAAAAGACCUAAAGAAAGAGAAAGAGAAAGAGAAAGAGAAGGCUAGCCACAAUAAAGAGCACCCAAAAAAUUUAGAAAAAAGGGAUUAUCCAACUCCAAAAACUGCUAAGACCACUUUAUUAGUGAUCGGAUAAAGAGAUUCCUCAAACUUUAGUCUGACAACUCUUCCUGUUGGAAGGUCCUUUGGUUUUCCUCUCCCUAGAUACACCAAAAAAGAUAAAUCAUAGCCAAUCUCCAAACUGCUCUUCUUUUCUUCCUUAGCCCCUUGACUUUUCAUUCGAGAAGAAGAUUUCUCAUGGAAGUCAGGAACGCCCACACCAAAAUGAAAGUUAUUAACAAUAAAGUCCAAAGUUCCCUUGUCUUAUCACAAUGAAUUAAAAUGUGGUCAGUUGAUUCUUCACUAUCUUUACAAAGGCUACACCUAUUGACCAUGGACCAACCCCUUUUCAUUAACAUGUCUAUUGUUAAGAUUUUCCCUCAAACUGCUUCCCAAGGAGAAAGACGAGUUUUAAGAGGGGCACAUGAUCCCCAAAUCUCUUUAGCUAGGAAUAAUAAAUUGUUGUCAGCCCUUACGGAGUUAUAAAAUGAUUUGACACUCCCUCCCAUCAUUCUUCAUACUAAGGAAUCCUCCCCUUCUUGCACUUUUAAUGCAAAAAUGUGUUCCAAGAAAUGAGUCACCUCCUCUAACCCCCAAUCUUGGAAAGAUCUUCUAAAAUGCACCUCCCAACAACCAUCUCCAUCCCCUUACUUCCCCCAAAGGUCUACCACUGUAGCAUAUUUGUGGGAUGCAAGCUUGAAAAGAUUAUGAAAAACAUCCUUCAACUUAGACUCCCUAACUCAACUGUCACACCAAAAACUUGUGCAUCUACCAUUUCCAAUACGGAUACUAGUUCUAAGAAUGAACUCUUCCCACCCUUUUCUAAUGUCUUUCCAAAGACUCAGCCCAUAAGAAUCUCUCACCUCUCUAGUAGUCCAACCCCCCUCCACCUCCCCAAAUUUUCCAAGAAUGACUUUCCUCCAUAAACUCUCCCUCUCAAGGGGAAACCUCCAUAGCCAUUUGCCUAACAAAGCUUGAUUGAGACCCUCCAAGUGCCUUAACCCCAACCCUCAAUGCUUCUUAUCUUCACAAAUAUGCAACCAACUAUAGGCCAGCAGAACUUGUAGAAUGCCAGUGAAAAACCAUCCAGCCCUGGUAACUUGUCACUCCCCAAAUCUGACAUUGCUUUGGUUACCUCCUCUUAAAGCAGCCCCUCCAAACCCUCAUUAUCCGAGGAGUCAAGAAUUGUCCAAAGUUGGACCCUAUUGGUUUAGAUGUUUGGUUUAAUAAUCCAUAAUCAGGAAAAUGUGACACAGUAGGGAUUGUACAAGAGCUCAGAAUUAUGGUGCAGCUCAGCCAUGAAUCUAUUAUACUGACCAUAAUUCAGUUAUAUCAGCUGAUUGGUUAUGACCGUAACUCGAUCAUAUUGGCUGAUUCAUUAUUGUAAUUCUUUAAGGUUCAAAGUAUCUGUCAACUUGUAUCCAGAAUGAUUGAGUUGUAUCCAGAACAACCAUGCUGAGAAGAUUUCAAGACCCAUUACAAGACUUAUCAAUUACAAUAACGAAUCAGUUGAUACAACCAAGUUAUGUUCAGUACAAUAGGUACUUUGAAAUCUAUUAUAGCAGGGCCUUGAA